AGGUACUCCUAACUUUCAUAAAUCUGAUAUGUCAUAUUUGGAAGUGCAAAAGAAUGUAGCUAGAGUUGUACAUUUUAGUAAAUGGAUGUGGUAAUAAGACUAAUCUUCAAUUUUUAUAUCAGUUCUAUGAUUUUUGUAGUAACAAAAUUACAUUUUUAUAUUAACGAACUAUUUAGACAGUUUAACGUUUCAGUUCUUUUGAUGUACGAAUGUAAAUAGAGAAAAUUAAGUAGGAAUCAACGUCACGUUAAUAUUGAAUCAUUGAUAUGAAGCUUUCUUUUGGGAGAGGUGCUUUUUCCAUGGAAAGUGAUGGACUCGAUUUAAUGUGGGAAUCCACAUACAGUAUAUAUAUGUAUAUGUGGUAAUUAGUUGCCAUGUGCAUUAUCCUAACCAAAAUGACAAAAGGCUAUAAUUUGAUUGCAUUAGACUUUGCUAUGUGAUGCAUUAGCAUAUAAUAACAUUUAUUUAUAUUAAUUUUGGUGGUAAGUUGAUCUGUCGUUUAUUCUAAAUGUGUUAAACACAAUAUUUUGUCAUCACAAUGCAAUAUGUUUUUAUAAGAUCCAAUUAUAUAAUUAAUCAAAAAAUAUAAAAUUAGAAAAAAUUAUAUAAUUAAUAAUAUGUGCAUAUGUUAAAUGGUCCAAACAAUGUUUAGAAAGAUGAAAUUUUAUAAUCUUCGAACUAACAAAACUACUAAAAAUAGAGUUAAAGACAUUAAAUUUUCCAAACCAAGGAAAUAACAAUAAUAUAUAUCCUCUUAACUUUUUUGAUGUGAAGGUUAAGAUAUUUUUAAUUUUAAGUACUAUCCAACUUUAUAUUAGAAGAUAAAUGUCUAAUAUAUAUUAUUGCUUUCAAUAAUUGUAUCCAGAAAAGCCUUUGACCAAACGUCCAACCAUACUUCCAUCUAAUUGCCAAACUAUGUUGGAAAAUAACGGUGAUCUAUAAGAAUUAGGACCCCAUCUUAACGACUAAAAUGAAAUGUGUAAAUAUCACCUUGAAUUUAUAAUUUUUGAGAAACGAAAAGCUUAAGCCUUAAACAAUUUAGAAAAACAUUAAAUCUAACAAAGUUCAUAAUUUAUGAUAAAAACAAAAUACUCUAGUUUCGAUAAUUUUUCAACGAUAAUUAAUAAAAUCUGAAAUAAAAUGUCUGACUUGUAUAUUAUAUAUUAAAAAUGUGAAAAUAUGUUAGUUUCACAUUAAAUGACCAUCACUUAGGCAAAAUUAUCAUUUCACUAUAAAAAUUUCAACAAAAUAAAAACACUUCAGAAAGACAAAUGUUUACUUAUGGUAGUUAUGCAUAAAGCGAAAAACUGCUAAUUUUUACUGAACAUAUAUUAUAAAAGUAAAUUUGUUAGGUACUUUAAAAGUCUAAUAACAAAAUGUAUAACUUAAAAUCGUCAUAGACAUGCAAGCUCACAUCCGUUAACUCGUAUUUGGUUUCUCAUUUAUUAUGAGAAUUGGAGGAAACUUUUUAGUAAGACCUAGCUACAUAAUAACUGUAUAUGAAAAUAUAUUGUAUGAUGUAAGUGAAGUCCAAAGCAAGACAUGGAAUGACUAAAGUGUCAUAGAAUUUGAAUCUGAAAAAAAAAAAAAAAGGAAUCCAAUGAAGAGUAUAUAUGAAUUAAAAUGUGAAAUUUUAUGAGAAAGUUACAAUGGGAGGAAGAGAUUACUGAAAUAAAUAAUAAGCAAAAACGUGGGUCAAGAGAAGAAAAUGAUAUACAAAGAAAGCUUGCAAAUCAAAUCCAUGUUUCAUAAGUACUCAACAUUACACACUCAUCCACCCCCACUCAAUUAUCUAAUAAAAAUUCAAUAACCUCCAAGUUGUGAACAGCAUAUUGUUGCAAUAAUAUACACAUAAUUGUUUUCAAAAUAGUUUAUUAUUCUUUUUAAAUCAUGCGCGUUAUGAGUUCUUUUCUCCAAUGUAAUGUUCUACCAUCCUAUUUUCGUUGUGAAUUACAACUUCCAAGAUGUAAUAUUAUAUGAUAGACAUGAGAAAUAUAUAAUCUUAUAAAUAAACUACUAAAAUAGUUAAGAAGUUACAACAAAGCAGUAGAGACCAUUUUUAUUUCUUAUUUUUUUACAACUCGCGAAAGCUUCACGUGAAGCCUUUGCUUCAUUUUUCAUUCAAAAGUUCUUUACCUUCGUUUUAAUUUUCUUAAUUCACUCAUGCAUAUAAUACUACUACAUUUGGGAAUUGGUUAUAUAUUAAUCUUUCGCUUUCUGAUAUUAAUCUUUUACAAGUCCAUUAGUAUCAUGCGUAAAUUGGUUAUAUAUUAUUAUCACAAUUAAUUUUUGUAUGAGUAUAUAUAUAAGCAACAUCAUGAAAACAGAUUUACAUGUUCAUACAAUUAUACCUAAUUUAAAAUUUUAAAAUUAUUUGUCUAACGUGGGAUGCUAAAAUCUGCUUUUAUAAUGUUGCUUAUUUAGUUUUUUACUAUAUAUUUAACUUCCCAACCCUCAAUAAAUUAGAUUGCCACUGAAUGGUAUAUUAAAAUACCAGAUGAAGUAUUUGAAUUUGUGAACCGUUUUAAUUAAAUUUAUUUUGUUGAAGCAACCAAAAAAAAAGAAAAGAAUAUGUUCAAAUCGUCUACCAAUUAAUCCAAUUUCGAAUUUAUUUAAGAAUUUAAAAAUAAACACUGUCUUUUAUUACUAUGUAAAACGUUAGGAGAGCAAAAAAAAGAUUCUCAUAUUCAAUGUUCACGUACGGAUUGCCACUUGCGUGCCUUUGAAGAAGAAGAUAAAACUGACCCAUGAGUAAGAAAUUGUUUUGUAGUAACCCUUUUCUUAAAAAAUAUGAUUAACAUUUCAAAAAACGAUAACCUUUAAAGUUCUCCAGAGCACUUUUCUUAAGAAAUACGUUACAUUUUCCAAUAUUCAAAUAUGAAAUUAUAUAAUAUGUACUCGAAUAUAUUGAAGAAUAUGCUUUUGAAUCCCAAAACUAUAAUUACUACAUUUUCUUAUUCUCCAAUUAAUCGACCACACUUAUAGUAAAGUUCAUUCAUUCACAACUUAUAGAUGAAAUAUUGUUAUAAUUUGGCAAAGAUAUAACAAGAAAUUAAAGUUAAAGAGAAAUGUAUAUGUCUGUCAUCUUAUCUGACCUUUUUUCUGUGCAUCAGGUUCUCUUUGCUAUUGUAAAAUCCAAUCUCUCUCUCAGUGGUCCUUUAUUAACAAUAUACACAGUUUAUGAGAACACUAGUGCCAUAGAAACUAGAAAGUGGAGGACAACCCACAAAUACCACCAAAAAAAAUAAAGACAUUUCAGUUUUAUGAUAUGUUACCAAAUGUACCAGUAUUUGAAUCCAUUUCCUGCUGUUAAAAGCUUUAAAGAAAUUCGAUUUAAAUCUAAGAAGUAAAAAAUCAACUUUCACAAAAGAAUAUCAGACAAAGACCCAAAAGAAAAAAAGACCAAAACAAAGUUAUUUUCUUUUAGGAGUGUGCUGUUUGGUACUAUCCUCUUCUAUUCUUUCAGAAUUUCUAAAAAAAAAAAAAAGAACUCACAUGUGUGUAAAUCAAAUUUUCUUUUCAAACAAAAAUUCUUCCUUUUUUGGGAUGUUAGUGCAGGACAUGAUAAUGAUGAACUCAGAAACAGCAUCAGACCCUCUCUCUCUAUAGCUUCAGAUCCACUUUUUACCUGAGUUAGGUCACAGUCACAGGACUUGCAAAAUUUAGGGCAAAAAUAAGAAACUCUAGUACAACAAUAAUUCACCUCAAAUAUGGUAACAAAGAGAUGACCAUACCAUACCUCUUUCAACUCUCUGCCACUCUCAGAUGUUAAAGAAGAUUCACACUGCCACUAAGUUCCAUCACCACCUCUCAACUCAAAUCUCAAUCCCUUUUUUUAUAUUAUAACUGUGUGAUUUUAUUAGUGUUCUCUAAUCACUCUCUUUUGCUAAUCACAAAAACUGGUGCUCUCGUCAAAAAUCUACGACGCCUCGUGCUCUAAAUGGUGGUAGGGUCUGAUGAGGAGACACUAACAUAUGAAAAGAGGGUUUGUUUGGUAGCCACAGAAAACUAAGUGUGAUCAUUAAGGUUGAAACAAGGUAUGUCCUUGUUUGAUCUACAGGAGAUAACCAUGUGAACUCUCAUAAUAUAAAAGUUUUCCAAUGGUGGGCAUUGUUCUUCAUGUACCAUCCUACUCUGUGUGCCUCUACUUUUGCAGCAUACAUUACACCAAAGAAAACAACACAUACCAAUCCCAUAAUUCUCAUAAAUGAUGCCUAAGAACCAAUCCAACAAUGACAACACUUACCAAUCCCAUAAUUCAUGACACAAACUCAUAACCGGUUGGUUCUGGUAUCUGGUUUAUUUGGUUAACACCAAGAACCGGGAACAAUAUGGUGGAUGGAAACAUUUAAAAGAGAGAUUAUUACCGUGAGAAGGACAUGUCAACUGAAUUUUGAGAUAGGGACUUUACACCUCCUUGGCCAUCUAAGCUUGACUGUGUUUUCUCAGUCUAAUCAACAGAGUUUUCUGCAGGAACUGCUGUAGAAACAGCUGACACAUAACAAAUUCUGUCAGCGAUAAUUGAGCAAGUUUAUGAUGUCACAAUCAAUCAAUCACAAUAAUACACAACUUCAUAUGUAGAAGGUGAAAAAAGAUAAAUCAAGAAAGAAACAAUCAUGGACCUUUCUCACUCAAGCUUCAAUUAUAGCUGUUUUAUAAAUACUAUCUCUCAACAAGGUAGCUCCACGAGUGUAGAAGACAGUCUCUUACAAAUUGCAGAUGUGGGUCCAGUUUCACAGCAUCUCCUGCAACCUUAAACAUUCUAAGUUACUACUGAACCUUUGAUGUACUUGGAUUACAUGUUGAAACUAAUACCUAUAAAUAUAAACCUAUGCCUAGCAGAUGCAUAACCUUAGAAAAAAGAUGAGAUUAGCAAACCAAAGGCAACAUAAAGAGACAGAGAUUCGAGUGAAAACCUGUAACCAAGCUUGCAAAAGUAUAUUCAAGGCAUUGGAUGAAUCAAUCAUUUGAUUCUGGCAAUUUCAGCAACGGUUAUCUUCUCUGACAACAAAGGACUCUAUAACAUAGUACAGAACAUGCUGGCUACACUAAGAAAGAGAGCAAAGAUAUAGAAACCUAGUUACAGGUACGAAAUAUUCCCAAACGCAGAGGAACCACAGAUAUUGGCAAGCAUAGCAUGUUCACAGUAACGAAAAACAUCUAAUCAAUCAGUCAAGGUCUCAUUCCCAACAUUCCACAUGCCAGUGUUUAUUCCUUAUCUUUUCGAAGCUCCAAACAACGUAGAGAAGUUACAUAGAAAGAACAUGGUAAAAGAUCUAGAAACUACAAAGUAAGGUAAGAAGAUUAGUAGAUUACAUUCAUCCACAACCACAAGUUCACUGUUUCAAACAAUUAGAUUGCUCACAGAUGAUCUCAACCUCAGGUAACAAUGACAUCAAUGUGAAAGGUUUAGCCUUUCAGUUUUCAAGCCUAGCUCGAUUACGAUGCAAGUGAAUAAGAUCUCUCAUUAUUCACACUAACGAUUAUGUAAUACAACAAGAGCCUUGUAGUGAAACAAAAGGAACAAUCUUUGAUUCAUGAACAAUACAAUUCUUCUUCUCAAUGUAAUCGAAACAAAAAUUACAGAACAAUUUGUUAAAAACAACAACAAUUUGGAUACAUUUGUUACCUCCCAAAGAUCAUUUCAUCAAAUCUCAGAAAUCGAAGAGCAAAGAGAGCUUCUACAAUCCCUAAAAAAGCACCAGCAGCUACAUCGAGAACGUAAUGUCUUCCUAAAAGAAUCCUUGAAAUUGCAGUCACUGUUGCCCAGAUCCAUACAACGACCACAACUUCUACCUUCACAUCGCCAUCGUUAUGAUCUCUGAUCCAUCCAUCUAAGAAGGAGUAGCUUGGACCAGUCAUGGAAGCUUCAGCAGCAGCAGAGAAGAAGUGAACAGAUGCAGCAACGAAGAAAACGCGAGAAGCGUGACCUGAGGGGAACGAGUAGUGAUCAGCUGAUACAGCGGCGGACAUUGAAGGGUGAUUGUAAGCGGGACGAGCACGACGGAAGAUUAAUUUUACGAUUCCGACGAAGAUUAGAUCGAAGAGGAGGCCGAGGAGGAAAGGGACGAGGAAAGAGCGUAAUGGAGGGGAGAGGAGGAAGGAAAGGGAUACGGGGAAGGAGAAUCGGAAAUCAGCUGAGAUUUCGAGGAGGAGGAGGACAAAUGGUGGGAGGAAUGGUUUCGCCGCCGUGUGAAUCGCGUGAGAUACGGCGGCGUCCACCGCUAAGAUGGGACCGAUGAAAAUCGUCGUCGUCGACGGAGACAUAACUGUCGUAACAGAUCUCUGUCAAAAACAAAACCGUCGUCGUUUAAAGGGACGGUAGUCAAAGAAAAAAAAAUUAAUUGUGAAGUUGAGUCUAACAAAACGACGUCGCUUUCUAAGAGAAGAACACUAAUCCAUUAGAAAAAUAUGUGCAUCUUGGGCCUUUUUUAUUAAGCCCAUAAAGAGAAAAGAUCAGUCACUUUCCUCGCUAACAUAACCACCUUAGAUUUUUAAGGUCCACUUCGUUUCGUAGUUAUUAGUGACCAGUAAAAGCGACUAAAUCUUGUUAUUUUUGUUCUUGUUAGUUCAUUUAUACCACUUUGCCAACAAAUACAUGUUUUAACGUUUUAAAUUUUCAUCAUCAAUAUAAUAUUACUAUUCGUUAGCGACCACAAAACCAACCAACACAAUAUAAUUAUUGAUCAUUGUCGCUAGCAACUGCAAAACAAACAUAACUUAAUCGUUGGUUACUCUAGUUGUUGCAAUCAAUAUCCCUAAUUUGUUACUAUAUGCUUCAUUCCGAUGUUUUUCAUACUUGUAAAAGUGUACAAUAUGACAUCUUAAUACAAGUUUUUUUCCUUUUUCUCUACCUUUUCUUUUGACAAUAAUGGGGGUGUUUUUUUAGUUUGUAUGUUCAAAUAAAACUUAAGAAUCGGUCCUACUGAUUCCCUUACCUUAUUGUUACACUACAGUAAAGUUACUCGGAUUCCUAUUUAUGAUUGUCAAUAUCUCAAUAAAUAAAACCCGACACAACACUUAAAUCAUUCAAUUCUUGAUAUGUUAAAAGGAAACACUGCGUCAAUUUGCUUUCCUCAUUAAAUGUAAAGAAAAUUCUUGCUUUCUUCACCUAACUUCUCUCUUAUCACUCUGCCUGUUUUAAUCAUAAAUUCAUUCUUCAAUAACUUUAGUUUCAAGAAAGAAUAAAUAAAAAUCCUUAUCAACAAAAUCAGUCGCUUGAAUACACACACACACAAAAAAAAAAAUCAGAUACGAAUAAUAAGUUUGGAUUUCAUAAAAUAUUUGUUUAGAAACUUAUAAUCAAUCUAUUAUACAAUUUGAGUCACCACAUCAAACCAAAUAAGUAUCAUAUUUUUCUAGGUAUUGAUUAUGUAAACCAUAUGGGCCAGGCCCAGGAGAAAAAUUAGAGGGUAAAAUCGUAAUAUGAAUGAUCAUAUGAUAAAACGCUCGCGGGUAUUUUUUUUGUUCAUAACAUACAUAUACAUAACUUGUUGAAGAGAGAAAGAGAGACAAGAACAAUAAAGAUCCGGAUCCAAGAACCCGAACAUGCCAAAUGGGUGGAUCAAAUCAUUGCAAUGCAAAUCAAAAGCGUUCGAUGAUGUCUACAAUUUCAACAGUAAAUCACUAAUGUCGUCGUCGAGUUACAAUUGUAGUCGAAAGAGCUCACAUUGCGUCAAAGACGUGAUCGAUACCCGGUUAAGCAAGAAAAACCAGAAACCCGACCCGAAUCUAAGGCGUUUCAAGUCUUGUCGAACCGAAACAGAGUUACUUAACCCGCCAAACCGGACCCGACGAAGCAAAUCUGCCCGAACAUCAGACGCACUGACCGAGCUGCCCGAUGGUCACCCGUCAAGAAACGUAGUGGAGAUUAUAUUUCAUUCAAGCUGGAGCUCCGACGAGUUUCCGGGUCGGAUCGAGAUGAUUUUCAAAGUGGAACACGGGUCAAGGACUGUAACCCGGUUCGAGGAGUAUAGAGAGGUUGUGAAGUCACGUGCGGGUUUUAACGGAGGCACGUGUGAAGAAGAGGAUGCACGGUGUUUGGCUGAUGGUAAUGAGAUGAUGAGGUUUUAUCCGGUUCUUGAUGGGUUUAACGGUGGCGCGUGUGUUUUUGCCGGUGGGAAAGGUCAGGCUGUGUGUACGUUUUCGGGUAGUGGUGAAGCGUACGUGAGUAGUGGAGGUGGCGGAGGAAGGAAGGCGAUGAUGAUUUGUAGAGUGAUAGCGGGUCGGGUUGAUGAUGUAAUCGGGUUCGGGUCGGACUCGGUAGCUGGUCGUGACGGCGAGUUGUUUGUCUUUGAUACACGUGCGGUGUUGCCUUGUUUCUUAAUCAUUUUUAGAUUGUAAAAUAUAUAUUUCUUCUAUUCACUUUUAGACAAUUUUUAUAUUAAAUUUUGAAUUAUUGGAUUGAAGAAAAUAAAAUUCAUGAAAAGUAAGCAACAUAUGUUAUGGACAUCGUUGACGUUGAGAAUUGAAAGAGUUCAUGAGCUAGACUCAUGUUCAUGGGACUUGGAUAUAUGUUCACUAAAGCUUUCUGGAGGAGUCAAACUGAUAUUAUGGCCUCCAUAACUCUUCUCGCGUGGUAGCUUACCACGUUUCAAGGCGUGAAGGGUUUGGGAGGUUAGACCAAUUUGAUUGGCCUCUUCAAAUAUGAUGAUGUCAUGUUUAGGUGUCGCGAUUUGAUUACCCUGGUAAAUUUAAGCUAUAUGUGCUUUGAAAAAAUUAUGUUUUCACAGUAACUUUAAAAUUGUAAAGUGGUUUUUACAUAAUUAACUUAUGUAAAUAUGUAGCCACUCAUGUCUUAAGUUUUUACUUGGUUAAAAUAGUGCAACAUUUAGGUCUUUAUACGCGUCGGGCCAAUUUUUUACUCUAUUUCUUUUUGUGGGAUUGAUAUAUAUGUUUUAGUUUGACUUCAGAAAAAUGUGAUCGGGAAAACAUAAUCAUGGCAAACGCAAUCUGGUGGAAGACUAAAUAUGAUGAUAUAUAAUUACGAUAUCAAUGGAGAUCCUAAUCAUGGUUCUUGUCUUCUUGGCCUAAGAAAAUAUUUUAUUUGUCUCUUGUAAUUAUGUUUCUUAAUUAUAUGAUCAGAUGAUGCAUGAAUGUAGAACUCGGCGUAAACAAAUACUAAUGCUCAAUGUUAAUGUUUGUUCAAAGAAAGUUAGGUACAUGAACAUGAGAGUAAUACUAUCUUUUAGAGGUAUUAUAUCGGCUAAAUACUCCUUUUUCACAUUUUAUGGUUGAAUGAAAACUAAAAGUGCCUGUCAAAAUUUUGUGUGUUUUUUGGUUGUUUGCUAGUUCACAUACUAUGUCGAUAACUUCUGUUUUUCAGACAACACUUAUUCUCAAAUGUAUUUUGAAAAUAUGUAGUCCACCAACCCAUAGAUUCUCGAACCCAUAGUGUAAUGAUGGGUAUAUACCGAUAGUGUUAUGAUUCACAUUGAUCUUACCUUCGAAGUAUACUCUAAAAUUGAUAAUUGUUUAACUAAUUUUAGCUGAUUAGUAUACCGGUAACUAGUACUGCUUUUAAACAGCAAAGAACUUUGGAUUAUUUGUUCCAGCUAAUCCGCUAGAAUUUAAAUCAAAAUAUUGUAGAAUCCAAUAAUAAGAAGUCUGCAUAAUCCGAAUUUUCGGAGCAUAAAUUAAUUAACCGAAUAAUUUUAUCCAAAUAAGUAAAGCUAAAAUCAUCAUCGGUACUCCACAAGCAUACAUAGUGGCUUCCCCUUAAGUCUCUGCCUUCCCUGCAAAAAAUUAAAUUUCCCACCUCAAAAAUAUUAAAUGUCACACCAAUACAAAACGAUCUCAAUUUAUUGUUUUCGAAUAUUACUACUGUAUUGAAUUAAAUUCCACGACAACGAACCUUUAAUUCGGGUAACUCGAUCACACAUGCACAUUCCACAACUUCUGCUCCAACCCUCUCUAACAUGGUCCAAAAACCAUUCAAAAAGGGCAAUAAAUAUCUUGUAUCGGUUAGGUUGGAAAUUUAAAACUCAAUUGGAUUUUCAUAUAGGUUAGGGAUUUUACCGAGCAAGUUAAUGGCAGCGCAGAGAGUACCACCAGUCGCGAUAAGAUCAUCAACGACCAAAGCUCGAUCGCCAGCCUCGACGGCUCCUAUGUGCAUCUCUAGGCGGUCAUUUCCAUAUUCCAACUCGUAUUCCUCAAAUAUUGUUUCACCUAGUUGGAUUUAGUGUUAGUACUACUUCAAAAAUAAAUCAUAUGAAAGGUAUGCAAGUAUAAGAACCAGGUAGUUUCUUGGGUUUGCGCAGAGGAACAAAUUUUGCUCCAAUGGCUAGCGCGAUCGGUGGACCGAAUAGGAAACCACGAGCCUCUAUUCCUGAAAUGAUAGCCAACGCAUUGUUUCAUGGUUAUGUCAAUUAGGGAAUAAAGUCUAGUUAAGUAGCGUAAAUCACAACAUUUUAAAAGAUUCUUUGUAUGAACGUACACAAUUAUCAAUUAUGUAUGUUGUUAUUAUUACAAGAGUCCAAAUAAGAAUUCACUGGUAUGGAAGAAAAGCUAAAGAACGAUUCUCUGUCCCAACAACGAACCCAAUAGACAGAUUCUAGAGCAGCACUAAAGAUACGGUUUCGGUGCUACAAGUAGUAGAAUUGUAUUGUGUAUGGGCUUAAUAAUAUGAAGUCUAUUAAAUAUUUUCUCUUACGCACUUUUUUUUUUGUACAACCAUAAAAUAUAUAAAUUUUGUUAUGUACCAUGUGCUAUGCACAUAUAAACUCUUCCUUAAACACGGGCUUUACAAAAAUAUCAAAAAUAGAAUAAACUCGUGAUUCAAAUGUUUUAACAACAGCUUUUCAUCGAGUUUUAAUGGGUUUUGGCAGAUACCUAUCAAGUAUGGUAAAUAUAUCAAAUGAGUUUGUAUGGUUUUGAUGAUUGGUUUUCUUUUAAAUCUGUCUAGAAAAGAUUCUAUUAAUUUGAAAAGGCAACUGAAAAAGUAUACAGAUUUGAAAAAGUAAAAAAGAAAUGAUGUACUUCACCAUACUUUAUCCUGCAACAGUAACAAAGUUACAAAGUCUUUGUACUUCAUUACAUAGAAGAAGAGAGACAUACAGAAAAAGUGGGAAGAAAAGAAUUGGCCAAAACAAUGAUGAUAGAAAAAGAAAGAAAACCCAAAUCAAGUUUUUUUUUGGGGCCAACUCUUUUUAAAAGGUUACAUCCAUCACUCAACUACUCAUCUAUCCAAACAUUACCCACCACACAUACACACACACACAAACACUUUUCACAUAAGUAAUAAGAUCAACAAUUAUAAGCUUUUAAAAAGUAAAAGAAUAUAGAAAGCAAAAAAAAAAAACUUUUUCUUAUAUGAUUUGGGAGGAAGAAUGAUCCUGGCAAUCAAUCUCAUUCAAUCACUCAGUCACAAAGAAAGAUUGGGUUUCAGAGAUAAGAGAGAGUCUUGUCUCAACCAAAUUUUUAUCGAAUAUAUGACAAUAACGAAACGAUUCGAUUCGAAUCUUUUUUUCUACAAAGUGUACGUGUGUAUAUUGUUAACGUCAAACACUAAACAAUACAUAUUUGCAUAUGAACUUCAAAUUUGGAUACAUCAUAUUAAUUGUUUUUGUACACAUAAAUUUAUUCGUUCAAUUAAAACAAGUUUUUUCAAUAAUCUUUAUAUAAAUGCAAAAAAAAAAAUCACAGAAAAAAACAAAGAAAAUAGUUCUUUCCUUCUUUUAUUAAAACAACCAAUGAUAACAAAGUUAAAAAAAAUUUUAAAAACAAAUCCAAAUUAUCAAGUAAUUUCCAUGAAAGUAUAAUGUACAAAAUAAAUCUAUAUUCCACUAAUUACCAUUUGACAUUUUUUUUUAAAGACUCCACUAAUUACCACACACCAACAAAUCAACUAUUUAGGGUUCAGAAAUUAGCCUAUACGGAAUUUCGGUAAUGGAUUUUUUUUCCUAUAUAAAAAGAAAACUAAACGUCACUAAAAACAUGACCUACCCACUUAUUUCCCCGGAAAAUCAUCAAAACAAUUAAAAAAUCGAGUUCACUGAAAUAAGUCGAAUCUUUUGAAUAGUAAUCCCAUCGAAAUAACACUAUGUAUAGAAAAUUAAUUAACAUUAUGAAUUGCAAUGAGAGAUAAUAUUUACCUGCAACCACUGAGAUGUUCUUGUCUCUGUACCUCUCCACAAACAGAUCAAUUGUGUCUUUGAAGGCUUUCGGAUCCAACAACACUGUUGUUAUGUCUUGAAACAUUAUUCCUGCAAUUUUAACCUUGUUUUUAGCACCCUCUCUAUGUAACAAACUAACAAUUCUUGUUUUUUUCAAGAAAAAUCUCUGAAUGUCAAAUUACCACUUCAUAGCAAACCAACACAGAUUCAAGACCAAGACAAAACUGUAAAAAAAAAUCCUUUAACCGAAAUAUUAUUGUCGGCAAAAGAUUCAGAUGAAAAAAUCAGCAUUUUCUUAGAAAGUACUUGUUCUUUAGACAAACAACAUUUUCUACGUGACGAAACAGAGUAUGUAACGAAGAACACACAAAAAAAAAGCACUUCCAUAAUGACAAUUCCAGAAGAAGGAAGAAAAAAAGUUACCUUUCUUGGGAAAAUCUGGAACGACACGGAUCUUAGUUUUGAUUCCAUGGAUACGAGGAUCCUCUUCUUCUUUGUUUCCCGACAUUGUCGACGAAGAGAACAACAAGAUGAUAGAUUAGUAAUAAUUCAAACAGAACAGAGAAUGAAAAUCCUCUGUUUUGCUUAAAGGGUGUCUUCUUCUUCUCUUCUCUCUCCCAAACUACUUGAACAAAAGAGAAAGAGAAAGUGAAGCAGUCAUACUACUCUUACCACUAUUUAUAUCUUUAAAAGAAAAGAAAAAAAUUGGUUAGAUUCUCUGUUCUUUAAAAUGUAGUGUGCUUUAAAAUGUGUUAAAAAUCUCUCUGUACAACUGUAAAGUUCAAUAAGAUAAUUAGUAAUAAAUAAUAAAUAAACUUCUAUAAAUAUGUCGUCCAACAAAAUCUUCCAAAAUCCAAAAAGUAUAUAAUUAGAAUAGGUUUUAUAAGGGGGCCAUUAAAAUAAUUUGUAUAAGUUUCAUAACUUAGAAUAGGUUUUAUAUUAUUUAUGAUACUUUAUAUAAAUGUUCAAUACUAUAACCAUUAUGAUUUUUUUUGGUGGGUUUCAUAAUCUUUUGGAUGAUUUGCUUUUCAUAGUUUAUGCAUGAAAAUCUAAUAGAGUAGUUUAAAAAUUUUCAACGUAUAAAAAAUGUAAUGGAGUAAUUUAAAUAUUUAAUCGUACAACACAUUUCAAAGAUCUCAUAUAAAUUCAAAUUAUCAAAUCGAGUAACACAUAAUAGUAGUUAAAAAUAGAAUAAUAUCAAUUAUUAAAAAACGUUAACAAAAAAAAGAGCAACAUAAUAAAAUUUAAGAUAAUUUUUUUUUGAUGACUAGUACAAGACAUAUCUAAUCUAUGUCUCAUUAAAAGACAUGAUCAAAGCUGUUAAACGUGUCGUUCAAACAUUGGAUUAUCUCGAUUUUUUGUAUCCCCAAAUAAUUCUCAUGUUAAUUAAAAUAAAUACAAAAAGCUUAAAAGAAGAAGUGUCCUCGUUAAAUUAUGAGAGCUAUAGCAUUGCAGAGAGACAAGUGGUCUGUUUCAUUAUCUUAUCUUGUAGAUUAGAAAUUUAGAAUAAGCUUGAACUCCUUUUUCUUUAUUUGUUGUUUCAGUUUGUCCUUAUAAUUAUUAAAAAGUAAACAUGUGGUUAGAGUUUCUCCGAUUAUUUGGAAAGAAAUAGUCAACAAACCCAAGUUGGAGAAUGAAUAAGUGCGAUUUUAAGCUUUACAACUUUCGAUAACAUUUACCUUAGUAAAUUCUAACUUAUACUAUUUGAUUAUAUGUAUUGCAUGCUAUGUGUUUUUACACAAUAUAUGUAAACGACCCUGCUUUUUCGUGUAUAUUACCUUAACAUGCAAAGGUGGGAGAUAGUUCUACUUAAUUAUAGCUAUUAAAUCAACGAAUCAAAAAAUGUGAACCCAUAUCCAAACCCGGUGAUAGAUAUUUCAACACCAAACUCGAAUUAGGUUCCCGUCAUUCAUUUGUUAUACAAAAAAUACUGGCUUAAAUGAUUGUCUUUUUAGAAAAUCAAUGAUAUUAUCGUCAAACAUAAAAUCUAAACUAAUAUCAUCAACUAGUUUGAGCAAGACCAAGACCAAGACCCUCUAGAUUUGGCCUAACUCUCGUAUCUAAAACUCACUUUACUGCACAAAGUCCGAGUGGGAUUUUGAGUGUGGCAAAUCUCUGGUUAUAGAUUGUGUUUUUGGAACAUUUUUUUAUUUCUAAAAAGAUAAAAAAAUAUUCAAAAUAUAUGUAACGAAAACUCAUAGAAAAUGAAAGCGAUGUUUCUUUCUUUACUAUUUUAGAUUUUAUUUUAUCUAUUUUAUAUUUUUAUGGAGCUUUUAAUUAGACCUGUCCAUGGCCUAGAAUAAGAUAAAAGUUCACCACCUUUUGAAUUUUGAUAGGCCACUCUUCAAUUGGAAUUUGCAUCUUACCUAUUUAACCUUCCACCGGUCUUUUCGUUUUUUAUUCUGUCUAUUUCUUCAAUUAUUGCACUAAAUCGCUCAAAAUCUAACUUGGGACAAAGGUGUCCAAUACUUAGCGUGAUUCGUCUUACAUACAUUUAAUGGUAUCUUCAUAACCUAGAAUCCCAUUAUACUACAAUAUAUCGGUUAUAGUAUAUAACAUCAAUAUAAUCAACAAUUAUAUAUAUAUAUAUAUAUAUACGAGUAGCAUCAACAAUGUUAUUGCUGCAAAAGUAGGCGAAUCUCUUUUAUUCCGUGUUUUAGAUGAUGUCUAGAUUUCAUAUGACCACUUUUGGUAAGCAUAUUGUGACUCCACUUUUACUUUUGUACUAAAAUGGUAUAUUUGUUAUUUCUAUUAUUAAGCUAGUCUAGCUAUUUACAUAUGUAAGAAACGAAAGAUUGAAAUGAACACAUUAAGUUCUGAAAUCGACUUUUUAGCAGUAGAAAAUUGAAGUUCACAAAAAACUGAUUUUGUUGCUUUUAAAAUGGCCUGAUAUUAAAAUUCUUUAGUUAAAAGCAAAAGGUAAUUUGGUAAAACAUCACUUUAAAAUAAAAAAAAUCAUAACCUAACAUUUAAAGGAAAAAAAACUAACAAAUUUUAAUACUUUUAUGGACAACAAAUCACUUAUACAUUUUCUUGUUAUUUCUAGAAUAAAAGGUUAAAUAUUAUUAGCAAGUAAAAUUUUUUAAAAAUGUUAAUUUUUGAGGAAAAAAAAUCCAUUAAAUUAUUGGAAAUGAGGUUAAAGAAAAUAAGGUAUCGAUUAAUUAAAGAAGGGACAAAAAGAAAGUAGUAAAACUGAUAGUAAUAGAUUGUGGAGUGUACUAUAAUCGGUCGAAUCAAUUGGAUUUAUCUCAUAAUAUUUUGUGGACGAGUGUUAGUUGUGCUCCAUUAACCAUUUUUCUUCCCACUAACUCAUUUUUUUUUUGCUCCUCUCCUUUUCACAUCUUUAAAGUCUUUUUCCUUACCAAAAAAGUCAUUUUCCUUAAUAUUUUUCCUGUUGUAUUCCUCUGUUCUGUCAAUUUCUGCCAUAUGAUUUAUUUAAUUUGAUAAAACAAAUCAAUUUCUCUGUAAAAUUAAUGACUAGUUAAUAUAUUUGUCAGGUACUUGUUUUUUCUCUACGGAAUCCCCAUAAACUCAAGUUUAUAACAGUGAUAAAAAAAAUUUUACAAAAUAAAAACUGUAGAAAAUGAAAUAUAUGUUUAUACUAGAUGAUAUGUGAUUUAAAUUAUUAAAUAGAAGAAAUUUAAAAAUAUACUUUUUCACACUAAAGUACUUAGACAAAACUGUAAGAAAAAAUGAAAAAGAUUGGCAACGUAAACGUAAACAUAACAGGCCCAAAUAUGUGAAUGGGUUCAGUGUUCGAAUAGUGGAUUUAGUGUUACCUAAUAGUCUUCGGCUUACUUGGCUUUUACCGAAAACCUCAAGAAUGUUUCAUAUGUUUAACAAAAAUGGGUUUAAGCAUAAGGACGAUGACUUGGGCCUCAAAUUUUGUAUGCGUUUGCAUUUUAAAAAAAUGAAUCUCUAGUCUCAAGUAAUUGAACAAUUCGUUCUUCUUUGCUGCUAACUCAGUCUAAACGCAAAUGCACAACACACAAACCAAAAAAAAAAAAAAAAACUUUAGUUUGCACUUCAUGUUGUCUCUUCAUGAAUGCAUUUCUACAUGUAGAUGCAUGCAAACGCAAGAAAUUGAUUUUUGUAAUUGUCCCAUGAUAGAUGUUGUUAUUGUAAUUUUUUUUUUUCAUCCGGAUUGAACAACCAAUCAUGGAGAUUGGAGAUUGGAGUCUGGAGAGUAAUAUCUUAAUUUUAUUAGUGUUAUUGACAAAGCUAUUCUGUUCCGAAUAUAGGAAAUUUUCAAACGUGUAAUACUAACUUUGAUGCAUUCUUAGAAACUGUAUUACUUACCUAAAAGAGUCGAUUUGUGGUUGUAUUGAAAUUCCAAUGGCUCUUCUUAACAGAUAAACACACAAAUAAAGAAAAUCUUCAUAGAAGACAAGCAAAAACAUUACAAUAAUCACUAAUCAUUACCAUGACUUACAAUGAUACAAAUAACCAUAUCAUUACACAAAUCUCACCUAAACCUUAACAUUCAUUAUUAAUGUAACCACUAUAGUAGUAUAUUACUAACCAAAAAAUCUCAAUGAGAUUUGGCAAACAUGAACAAUCAAAAAUGAAUUUUGAAGUAUAACAAUUUAAACAAACAACAACAUAAUACAUACCUGUUUAAAACUGUUGUUAGUAAGAAUCAAACUCUAGAUAUAAUCCUGUCCAAAACUCCAUCAAUAGCAAUAUCAACAGCAUCUUUCUUAUUCAUCAAUCCCAUUGAAGCUCCAUGUCUUCUAUACAUAACUCUAGGCAUCAUCUCUAUAACUCUUUCUCUCAUUCUAGUAACUUCUUCUUUAGGUAUACUCAUCAACACAUCUUGUAUUCUAACUCCUCUAAACACUACAUCUUCCUUCGGAAUCGUAACCGAAAACUCCGCGAAUUCGGACUCCGGUAAAUGCCAUUUGUACUGCAUUUUCGCCGUUUGAUCCUCGAAAAACACCGGUAUACAUCCGGCGAUGAUUCCGUCGAAUGUAGCUUUCCUUGUUGGUGUAUCUCCCGGUGGUUGUAAACAAAACGAUGAUUGUAACAUCGGUCUCAUGAAUCUAAUCGGAUCAUGCUCACAGAUUCCGUUAGAACAAUCGACGAAAUCGCAGAUUUUAUUAUCCGAUUGUGUUGCGUUUAUGCUAGUGCACUCUAAGCGGAUACUACGACGGAUGUUAGGAGAAGAGGAGGUACCACCACCGCCGGCGAAUAGCAUAAGAGAAGUUCGCCGUGAGCGACGGACACGACGGAUCCACGAUUCCAAAAACGGCAAGCUGUGUGGAUGAAACGACGUCGGAUAAGGAACGGCUUGUUCUUGCCACGGCCAGUAACGAGAUUCGAGAGUUAACGCCGUUAGAUUGAAAAACUCACGGCGUUCUAGAAACGACGUUCCCCAAAUCGGAGGGUCAACGGUCAACGGCUGAGAGAAAUCCCAAGCGGGUCGAGCCAUAACGAGGAAAUGAUCAUGACCGGAGCGACGAGACCAGAUCUCGGGUUGAUCACGGGUCAAAAACUCGAGAAGAUCCGACCCGUGAUCAGCGCUUGAGUUUAAAUCGGGUCCGUAGAGAUAACGGAGAGAAUCGAUGCCGGCGUAGUAAGGGAGGUAGAUUGCGGAGGCGAGAUUCGGGUCGGGUGUGAGACAUGGAUAUUCGAGAAUCCGACGGUGGAAAAUGAGUUCGAGAAGUAACGGGUCGGUUCGAUACCAGCUUCGGGUACGGGUAUGGGUUUUUGGGCCGAGUCCGUGAUUGGCUAAGUAAGGGCAAAGAUCGUCGGUGAUUGGGUAACGAUUACAAGUUGAGAGAAGAUCGAGAUUGAAUCGUGAUGGGAGUGUUCGGAUGUGAAUCCAACGGUUGGUGCAUUCUGAAUCAACGGCUGAGAUUUGCUGAGACUGAACCUUAGGCUCGAUGAAGAAGAAGAAGAAGAAGAAGAAGAUGGUCAAUGUUGUGACGGUGGAUUUGGAAGCCAUUGUUAUGGAUGUUGUCGGAGUGAGAGUGGUAGUUUUUUUUCUCUCUGUUUAUUAAUGGUAGGAAAGUUUUUGGUAAUUGCAUAUAGAUCCUUAAAUGUAUAUGUAUAUUUUAAUGUUGCCUUUAUUAUUUAUUAACAGGAAUACAAACCCUGUUAAAGAGUCAAAAUUGGUGAAUUUGAGGCAAUAACUGAACGUUGGAUCUCUUCUUGGCUAAAAACAUAAAAGUUGAUUUUGAUAUCUAGUGACUAGAGAGGAGAAUCUAACGGUGCUUGUGCAAUUUUGAACACAAUAAAGUCGGUGAUCGUGUGAGUGUACUCGUGGACGCGGGGAAGAUCAAUCCCAUUUUCCAUUUGUGUGUUCAAUAAUUAGUUUUCCAAUUCUAAAAUAAGAAAACAAAUUAUAAAAGGACAUUGGGUUUAAACUGGUAUGGCUCUUUUAUUUCACUUAACCGAAUUGAAUUUACGAAAGAUAUGGUUUUGGUUUCCACUAACUAAACCGAUUUCAUUAUAAGGCCUUCUCUCCAAAAGACAGAGAAAAGAUAAAACACUGAUUUAUGAAGACGGACUGGGUAGAAAAAGCUCAUAUUUAGCAAAGCAAAAAAAUGGAAAAUCCCAAGCUUCGGUCCAUUAUACAUAAAACUUUUGUUAGAGAUUUAUCAAAUAUUUAUUUACUGCCGUCAUGGAGAAGAACAUAAACCCUAAUACAUGGUCGGAGCUUCUUCUAGACCACCGAUGUUAGCUUUUGUAGAAACUAAAAAAAGGGUCGGGGAAAACUCUUUAUUAUUGUGUUCUUGAUUUCAAUAGUAUUAAUACAAUAUAUAUAGAACCUAAUUUAGAUUUAAUCUAAUUAGAAAUGGAAAUAGAUAAAUAUGAAUAAGUAAAUAUUCUAAAUCUUUUAAUCAUUAUCGUAAUGGAUAUCUAAAAUAUUUUUUGAUAUUGGUUUCACGGGCUUGGUCCGUUGUCUUACUUCCCAAGUUACUUCCAUAGCCUUGUUCUCCGCUACUUCGUACUAAACAAUACCGCUGAUAUCAAAACGAUCUCGCACCUCCUUUUCUCUUCCUGGCGGAACUCGUUCGAGAAGCCAUUUCUUUUCUUGGGCGAUAACCAUCCUUAUAUACUCACCAAUCUCGUCUGAUCCCUUAUUGUUCAAGAAAAUCUUGAUGUCGAUGUCAAUCCCUCUAAGUUGGGUUUUACAGAUCUUGAUCAUUCGUGGACUAAAACUAGGUCGUGGAAAGAUCCAUACGAGGCGUUGCUUAACACAUUGGAAGAGAUCGAGCAGGAGAUGCAGUAGUCGGUCCUCUCUCUACAUUAUCGAUUAGGUCAAGCACAUAUGGUUUUAGUGAGUGGGGUCGUCGGUGAGUGGAUAAAGUCCAACUAUGCUUAGGACGGAGGAAACCAGAAGAUGGUGACGGAUACAACAGCUUCGGUGGCAAUGGAUGAAGCAGCACAAGAAGGUAUGAUGGAGCUAGUGAACAUGGAUAUGUAAAACGUUAAACACAAUCAUUACAUUUGUUUUUUCCGUUUGCACAUGACUUUUAAAUUUUGAUAUAUCGUACGUACUCUUAUUUAUAUAUAUAUAUAUAUAUGCAUAUACUAUUUAUUCCUUCAUAAGUUCUAUAUAUCAAACCUAGAUUUUAGAAAUCAAAAUUCAAUCCCGUCAAAAAUAAAUAAACACAGUAGUUUUUAAUCGGAACAACAAAUUGUGAGCACAAAGUAGAACCAAGUUGAUGAGCGACCUAUUUAAAUUUUGAUAUAUCCUACCUUUUCUUUAUGCAUAUAUUUAUUCUUUCAUAAAAUACAUUUUCAAAAAUUUAAAUUCAACCUCAAAACCAAAUAGAAGUUUUUAAUCAAAACCAACAAACUGAACCCUGAACACAAAGUAGAACGAAGUUGAUAGCUAGCUAAUUGAGAUGUACAAUCUAAGUAUAAUGUAAACAAAGAUUUUACUAAUAACUACACACUAUAUACUGUUGUUAUCUCCUGAUAUAUUAUUUCUGUCUUAUUUUAUAACUCUCUUUAAUCAUUCUUUACACAUAUUUCUAUUUUUUUUUUAUCUAUCUAACAAUUUCUAAAGAACAUAUGUGAAUGAUCAAAUUAAUUACAGCUUUAUCACAAACCAAAAUAGAUUCAAGCAAGACCAAGAAAACAGUAUACAAAGUUCUCUAGUGAUAAAACACAAACUAGAAGAUAUUCUUACUACACUAAUCACUAAUCAUUACGAAGACUUAAAAUUAUCCAAAUAAUAAACCAUAUAGAUUACAGAAAUUUCCAAACCCAUAAUACAUUCAUUAUUACUAAUGUAACAACUAGAGUCUAUAUUACUAACCAAAAUUGUCUCAUUGUCUUCUCCAUUUAAGCUUCAUGUCUUCUAUACACAAACUAUUUAAGCAUCAUUUCAAUCACUCUCCCUCUUUCUCAUGUAAUCGAGUGUUUCAACCAUAAUUGUCUUAUUGGAUAGCAAAGCUAACCCGUUUACCUGAUUAAUCAAAGCAAAGUUUUUGAUUUUGUAAUCAAAUCUAAACACCAUACAUUAGAACGUUCUUCAACUUUUGAUCUCGUAAUCAAGUUUUUGAUUUUGUUUACUUUCUUUUUUUUUAAACCCCAAAAUUCAUGAACAACUUAAUUAACGUUUUAUAAAACUCGCGAAAUAUGGUGAAAAAAAGCCAAACAAAAAUAAAUUUAUAAAAUAUACCUACAUUUUAAACGUAAAAGGCCAAAAAAUAAUUCAUAUAAUGUAGUAUCUCUAGUUUGAUGCCGUAAGCCACAUGGCUUUGUGUUUGUAUCCACUUUUUCGAAUGUAUGAUAUUGUUAACGAAAACUAUCUGAUUCGUUUGUCUACAAUUGUGAACAUCGAUGUGUAAAAUGUCAAGACAAUCGUUAUAUUCUUGUUUUUCCCGUUUGCUUAAUGGAUAAUAUGGAAAAAUGAUAAUAUAUAGAAGUACAAACUUUAAAAAAGGAAAAAAAAUAAGAAAUUAAAAAGCAGUGCAGAAUGAAGCUUCUGAUUCUCCUACACAAUCAUCAAAAACUUGUUUUUGAACUUUCCAUCUUCCCCCAUUUCACCAAAGUCUUGAGAAACUUCUUCACCUGAAACACCAUUACGGUGUUACCGACCAAACUCAUACAUUACAAAUUUACAUAUAUAACAUAGCAUAGAUGAUGACUUAGAUAAUAUAAAAUUUGUACCUCGGAAGGGUCUCUAAGAGAGUAAAAUGCAUUGCUUUCUUUUGGUACAGACGAUACCAAUAUUCCAAAUCCUCUGUUCCCUUCCCUCAGUACCUUGAAUGCAUCUUCAUCGGUCUUGUCAUCUCCGAUGAAGAUUGGGAGGAACUCAUCGUUGUUGCUUAAUCCGAGAGACUCUAACAGAAACUCUACUGCUUUUCCUUUGUUCCACUCAAUCACAGGACGCACCUCUAAAACCUGAUCAUAUCAACAAAACUAUGUUAAGGUAUUUGGAUCUAAUAUGAGAAACCAGAGUGAUGUUUAUUCCACAAGUACCUUUCUACCGUGAGUUAUACGCAAACGAGGGUAUCGUUUCAGGUGGUCAUGAACGCGUUGAGCAACAAGUGGCCAGUCCUUCUCGUCAACAUUACGGUAAUGUACAGAAGUACAAAACUUAUGGUUCUCUACUUUUGCACCUUUGAUACAUUUAGUUAUCUCAACGAGGUUAUUAUAAACCUCUUCAAUGACGGGUAUGAACUCUUUAGCAGGCUGAAAGAGGUUUACCUCCUCACCCUAUUCAUAAAGAAAAGAUUAGCAUUUACAAAAGUUGAUUCAUAUACUGUUUUUAAGACAAAAUGAGGUCAUGAUCUCUCACCUGUUGGUCAGUGGUUUUUAUACAAUUAGGGUCUUCAGGGGAUCCAUUUGGAUUUACAGGAGUCAUAAUGUCCAUCCCGUGACUACCCGCGUAAUAGAGUUCGGUUAGCCCUACCAAUUGGUAAACCUGCAUUAACAAACUCAAAAUGUAUUAGUGUUUUGACUAUUGGUUGGCUUGUACUGAUACAAUGUUAUGGUUAAUUGUUCAGAAGUCUUACCUUGUCACGGCUUCUACCACUAAUUAUUGCUGUUGGGAAGUACUUGGCGACAUCUUUCACAGCAGCACGCAUCUAAGAGAGAUAUAGAAAACAAACUUAGCCAUUUACGUUUUGAGAUCAGAGAGCAAAACUAACAAAACAGAGAUUUUAGUUCUUUACCGCAUCAGACAUGAUGGCGCGAUCAGGGUCAUCGACUAUUGGAGAAAGUGUUCCAUCAUAAUCUAGAAACACAGCUAUCUUCUUGUUCUUUGCUUGAGCUGCAAUAUGCGCAAACGAGGUAAUCGCUGAAGGAUACUUGAGCUGUCAAGAUUAAAGAAUGAAAUGAGUAGGACUAAGAAAACAAAAGAGAGAUCAAAACAUUUGUGAAUGAAACCAUUAGAUAUUAUUAACAUACCAUCCAGGCCCGUUGAGAAAAAUCAUCUUCAGGAGCAAUCUCAAUAUUGAAAUCCUUGACAAGCCUUUUACGCGGUGGAGACGAAGAUAUCAUCGCGUCCAACCAACCGUUAGAUCGAACAUCAUCGAGUUUAGGAAUCUUCUUUCUAGAAUUCAUCAUGAAUCUCCCUGAAGGGAAGGAUGAUCCAAGUCUUGUUUUACUUACUGGUGUAGUAGGGUCACUAAGAACAGGGGUCGUCUUGUUUAUAUUCAAAUCCAUCGAACUCUCCAAACAAUAAAAUGCUUCAAACUAAGAAAUUCGACGGCUUCUUCUAAACACACUUUAUCCAACUCUUUUGUCAAUGAAAAACCACCUCUUUAGUGUUUUCUUAUCACUGCUUGUUGUUGAACUGUCCAUUAAAAGUAGGUUACCUGAAAACUGAAAGAUGACCACAAAACAGAACAUUCAGCAAAUUUGAAAAGCUUUUUUCAUGAGAACUUAAAAGUGACCGCAAAACCAAAAAGCUGUUUACAUUACCUUAUCAUCUCUAAAUCUUCAAAUGUACAAAGCUUUUACCACAACAACGCUAUCACACACAAACCUGUAUAUACGACCAAAAUGACCACACAAAAUACAAGAUUUAGUAACUUUUGGGGUUUCAUAACAAAGGCUUUUUUAAGAAACUUGACAUGUCUUUAAAGCAGAACAGAACAUAAAAAGUCAAAAAGAAAGUCAUGUGUUACCCAUCUUGUAGUUUAAUGAUAUAAAGAAAAAGGAGGGAGCCACUGAUUUUGACAAGUACCGAAAUUUUCAAACUGCCUUCGUCUAUAGGACAUCUAACUAUUUAUUUAUUAAAGUGCCUACCGACAAAAAAACUUGUAGCAUACUCACUCAAUAUUUGACCACAUCACGCGUUUUAACAAAUCAACCAAUUCUAAACAUGUCCAAUUAGUUCCUAUUUUCAAUUCAAGUCUGUUUAACUUCUUAUACAAUGAGUUUUGCCUAAACCAAUGCUCAAAGGUACGAAAGAACAGAGCAGGAUUCAAUAAAUAAAACAAAAACAUCAUUUUGAUGAGGCAAACAAAAUAAAACGACAGAGAGAUCUAGAAAUCUCAAUGAUAAAACCUAAAAACAGAUCAGAAACUUAAAAAUGUGAAACAGAACACUAAAUGAUUUGAGAGAAAACGUACCUGAUUCAAAAGAGCUGUGUAAAACACAAAACAGAGCUAGAGAAUCACGAGAAAAAAAUGCAGAUUUUCUCGGAAUCUCAGGGAUCUCGAAAGGAGAAAUCACUAAGAGGAAGAUCAGGGAUUUUUUUUUUCUUUAUUCGAAGAAAACCCUAAAAAUUGCAAAGAGCUCACUAAAAAUCCGGAAUUUGGAAAGAGGAGGAGAAGAGAGAAAAUGAAGGAGAUGGGCUUUCGUAUUUAUAGAGUCCGAUUCUCUCAAAAAUACAUUACAAAAUAAAGCACAAUUAAAAUUAAAUUGUCCGUUUCUCAAGGAGACACAGAGAGAGACGUGGUUAACAAGGAUAUCAGGCUGUUUUUAUUGAAUCCCGAAAAUACCUCUCAUGUUUGAUUUAUUUACCAACUUUGCCAUCAGACGACCAAGACCACAUUAUAAACUUUCUUAUUAUUGUAUUUAGCGAGUUCGUCAUUAGUCAUAAUAUUCGGUUGUUUUCUUACUUGUUUUUUUUUUGUUUUGUGGAAUCUUUGAACAAGUAGUAUUAUUUACGUUUCAAAUCUUUGGUGUUAUAUACUUAAUUUGUAGAAAAAUAAUUUCUUGCUUGACCAAACGAAUGGGUCGUUAACUAAUGUGUCUUAAACGGCGUGAAGCAGCCGUCAUAACGGCUCUACAUUCCCACUUUUUCUAGAAUAAUUAUAUAGAAAGAAAAAAAAAAAUUAACGACAAAUUUAGAAACCGUGUUCACAAAAACCAAAACCUUAAUAAAAAGAAACAAAACAAAACCGUGAGGCGGACGUUAGUUGUUAGCUGAUUCAUUAACGUACACGUGGCUACGAGUCAAGAGAAGUGUAAAAAUCGUAGGAUCCACGUGUUCAACUAAUAAUGGUGACGUAACCACGUGUUAGUUGGGCCUUAAUGGGCCCAUAAAGGAGGAACUUGCUUUUCUAGUUCCCAUGUCACAUACUCACAUCAUCGUUUGAUUCUCAUUGCCUUUGGUUACAAUUACAAUGUUGGCUUGACAUUCAACCAAAUUAAGAUAUUUAUUCUACUGCAAAAUAUCAAAGGACAAAUAAGAUGACAGAAUGACGUGGUCCUGACGCUAAUUGGGUUUAAAGGUAACGUUUAUUAACGGAGUUUAGAUGAUGAAGAGUCAUAAUCACAGGACCCAUAAUAAUUUAGUGACCAACCAAAGUUUUAAGUUGUAACUUGCAAGUGGACCUCAAUGCUGAAUAAACGGUUGUGAUUAGCUCUCCGUGAUCACUUUUGUUUAGCAGUGCAUGCUUGUUGCCUUUUUCGUGGUGGAGUUAACAAAAAAGCAUAAUAUAAUUAAUCAAUUUUAACCAUAUUUUCAAUGUAGCUAAAUAUAAUUCUUUUUCCCCAAAGGGAGAAAAUCGCAUAUAAGUAGAUUUUGGUUUUGUCUGUGCACCGGCUUUGGAAGGUUCACCACGUGUAUCCUACGCUGACGAUUGACGAGUCGCAACAAUAAGCUGACGCAAUGAUGACACAGCUUUACUUUACAAUAAAGGACGAAUUCAUGAUUUCAGAUUUUUGACAAGGUUCCAAGGAAAAAGAACAUUUGAGUAUUUUGACAGCUAGUUCAAUCUCAUACCUUCUCGAGUCUCCAUUUGAUUACAAUUUUUUUUUUUGUUAACUCAUUUUUUCUGACAACUGUUAAACAUAUGUGAAUAUAUGAAUUAUGAAACAGGACAAACAUGGAUUCAGUGGUGACAGUUUCAGAUACUUGGCCUCCUUACUAGUUACUCAUUCCAAAGUUCAAAUUUAAUAAACCUACCACAUACUAAUGUAAUUCUACGGUUAAAAAGACAACCACAGUCAUUUUUCUCCUCUCUUUAUAGUCCUUGCAAUAUUAUGAUAACGCAGAAAAACAGCCUGUACUAGUUAACCAUUUUUGUUUUAUAGAAAAAAAAAACUGUUUUGCUGUGAAGACAGCUUGAUGUGAAGAAAACAUUGAUUCAAUAAUGGAAAAAAAACAUGUGUGCCGACCACUAACUCUAAGCUCAUUUUGUCAAUGUCCACAUGUUAUCAGAGUGAUAAUGAUAAGACAUCAUUAUAUGUAUAAUGUUAUAAGUCAUCUGCAUAUGUGUCUCCACGUAUCUUCAGUCAAGCAUACAUCGUAUUAUUAUAUCAUAUGUGUCUCAAAUUACAUGAUCCGGCUACUAAACUACGCGACAAGUUUUGUAAAAUAAUAAAAAAAAACUUGUCAACAUGAAUAAUGCAACAAAUUUUGUGAGUGAAAAUUAUUGUUGCUAAUUUAGUUAUGCAAACAACUAACUGCGAUUUAUAACUAGUGACAAAUCAUGCAUAAAUCUACCAUAAGAAUAUGUAUGUAUAUUAGUAUAUUACAGCAUAUAUAUGGUCGUCUCUCGGAAAUUAAUUUUGAAUAGUGAUAAAGCUUGUAACCACCAUAUAAGAUAUUGAAGUGUCUACCAAAUAGAAAUCAUGCGACAUAAGAUGAAAGCAGUACACAAAAACCACUUCAUUAUAACAAAUGUAAUUUGAUUGUAUGACCAUGGACUCUGAUUACAAGAUCCAAUAUUAAAGAUCCAAAAUAGAUAUAUAUAUAUAUAUAUAUAACUCAUAGUAUACCACAUGUAACGUGACUAUUAUUGAGUUUUUAAUUUUAUAUUUUGCAAAUGGUUAGUAACCCUAUAAAAAUGAUUAGUUUUGUUUUUUCUUGGUCACCAAAAAACGAUUAGUUAUUAAUCUACCGAAUAAAUAAUAUUAUUUCAUGUGAAUAACAUUUCUAUUCUAAUAUCAUAUUGAAUGUAACCAUUUCUAUUUAUAUACACAUGUACAACAUGGCAGCCAACAACGAUUGAAUUGAGGAAGCAUAUUACUCUCGUUAACGAAAUGGGAAGAAGUGAUAAGCACUAAGUCUACUGAAUAAAUAAUAGAUACCAACAAAGCAUUGAGAAUAAGUCGUGUAUCUUGUUAUAUAAUAUGUGACCAGUUGGUCAGGCCAUGUAUAAUAUUAUAAAUUGCAUGAGUAUUUUCGAUGAUUUCCAAAAUGGUUGGUAUGUCUCUAUUUACCCAAUUAAUUAGCUCCCUCGUUUAUUUUUAGGUGUUACUAUACUUAGUUGGUCGACGCGGACGUUAUUUUCAAAUCUUUAUUUGUUUUUAAAAUAGUUGUUGAAGAUUAUUAGUUGUUUUACCGUAUGAUUUAGCUAAGCCAUUUAAAAAAUUCGAAACAAUCCCAUUAUUUUGACUCUUAAGAUCGUCUUUGACAAAAGGAGAGACUUCAAUACAAAGACUAUCUGGGAUUUUUCUUGGGCCGCAUAAUGCUUCUUAGAUAUGGCAUUUUUGGGCCUAUCGAUGGGUGAAACUGUAAUUAAAUAUCCAUUUUGGUUUAGCAUAUUUAAUCACAAGAAUGCAAGAUUCACAACUAAUUAUAAACUUUAAUUUCGAAAUGGUAUUAAAUUGGUUAUUAUUUGGUUUUUGUAGUUUAUGAACUUAGAAAUUCAUAAAAAAAUGUAAUGAAAAGUUUGAACUGAAAACGGAUUUACCCUAAUAGUAAAGUUAACUCAAAUGCAACAAUCUCAACUUCAUUACUUCAGGUGAUUAAGAAUUUGACAUAAACCUUUGACAAAAAAAAAAAAAAAAAAAAAAAGAAUUUGACAUAAACACAAUGAUCAUUUUUGAAGUAUUUUUGUUCUUAUUGCCUAUUUUAAAAGGAACAUUAGAAUUUGUUUUCCUCUCACUCAAGACAAGAGCAAUAGAAAAAUCGCCAAAAGGCCCCAAACCCAAAAACAUUAUCAAAGACACUCUUCACCACACUUUAUAAGCAUCAAACCAAAGUAACAACAAGAAGUAACUGAACGUAAAGAAGUUUAAUCCGUAACAUAAUCUGUCAAAAUACACACAAAUUCUUAUUUUCUACAACCUCCAACAAAACCCUAAUCUGACAAAAGAGAGAUUUUAAUUGGGCAAAGAAAGAAUCUCAAAAUCUUGAAGAAGAAUCUGAUCUUUAAACCCAGCAAGAAACUGACAUAAACCCUCAAGAAACAGAGCCGCUUGAUGCUCACUUGUAGCUCCAACAAUGUCCAUAAUCACACUCUUCCUCAAACGAUUCGCAUCAACGAAAAUACUCACAAGCUCUUCCAUCUCAAUCUUUGCUGCUUCAUCCACCGACGUUGAAGCCGUCGCAACCGUCGCAGUAAGCUUCUUCUUCUUCCCAACUUGAUACGACGAGACCCAACUCUCAGAAACUCGAGCCACGAAACUUCUCUGUGUUUUCCUCAUACGAUCCAUUAAACCAGGAACCAUAAGUCUCAUUGUACACUCAAUCUGAUCGAUUCUUUUAACCAACUCAUCAGAAGGAUCUUUCCACGCCAUCGUCAUCUUUAACGGUUGAUUCACAAGAUCAAGAGAAGUUUCCUCGUCUUCGUCGUCGGAAUCUUGAUUCUCACGGUCGAUGAAAGAACGGAGGAGAUUGGUGAGGAGGUAAGGAUGGAUAUCGCCGAGGAAAAGAAACGGAGUCUCGAGAGAGUUACGCCAUGAAGGGAAGAGAAGGUAAGGAAUGGUGUUGUGAUCGGCAGCAAGAUCUAGGGUUUCGUAGUAUAAGACUAGGUGACGGAGGACGAGGUCUACGUUGGAGGAGAGGACGGAAGCGGAAGCGGCGGAGGAAAGUGAUUGACGGAGGAGAGGGAGGCAGUUUUCGGUUAGGGUUUUUGACCAGUCUUCGUAGAAAUCAUUGAAUCGACGAGAUGGUUUCUUGCGGGAGAAGAAAGAGAAAGGCAUUUUCUUGGAGAGUGAAGAAGACACGAGGAUCGAGGAUUUCUGAAAGCUUUUCGUGAGGUUUUAAUCUGUUUUUCACAUUUUACGAUCAUUGUUAUCGGUUUAAGUGAAACCAAACCGAAUCUCCUAAAUUCAAUUUAGUUGGUUUAAUGACCAUAAAUAUACCAAUUAACAAGCCCUUGUCUAAAUGGGCUUUUUCUUGAACCGUGGUAUUUUAUAGGCUCUCUCUACCAUUGGAUGAAGAUGGAUCUUAAUUCUUACAGAUAAUUGAAAUAAAUAUUGGAAUUAACAAAAAUAGAACUAACAUAAUUUGUUUUUGUUUUUUUGUUGAAAUAAAGUGAAAACAUAAAAUUGGUAAAGAGUUUUUUUUUUUUUUUUUUUAAUCACAACAUACGAAAGGUUAACUUGAAGAACACAACUACAAACAUGUGAAAACAUUAGGAAUGUUUAUUUGGAGAAAUAGUACGUCUUGUUUCAACACGAGCUUGUGCAGCAGUGCUAGUUCGGUACUCAUGGUGAAAAGAAGUUUUGGUGAAGGUUUUUCUUUUUUUCUUUUUAGAUUAAGAACAGAGAAGACAAUCUCCUAUAGCUGAAGCAGAGAUUGUAAGAUCGAACACAAAACCCUUUAGUAGUUAGGUUUAGGCUCUUGAUACCAUGUCAAGAAUCUAUAGAAGUUGUGAAAGAAGACUCUUAUUGAUUACGGUAGAAGACAAUACCUUUAUAUACAAGAUAGCUUAGACCUAAUUGAUCUAUACAACAUUAACAAUAUGUAAAUGGGCUAAGGGCCUCAUAACCUAGCACAAUAGAAAAGACAGAACUAUAUAGUCCAUUCGGUUUCAAGCUGACCUAAUAGCAUUGAAAACCUCUUGAAAUAACAAAAAUAGAACAAACACAAGGUAAAGAGUAUUUUACUAUGUCAUCUGAAACUAAGAGUGUUACAUAGAGACACAUUACUUUCCUUAUAGGGAGCACUGCUUUUUAGAAAUAGGCCCAACUAUUGGAAAUUUCCAAACCAAAGCGAUAAGCAUGAAACCAGAUUAUGAGUUGGAGCAGUUGUUGUAGCAAUUGUUGUAAUAGUACGAAUGUUUUCACUUUAUUAUAUUUCAGCAACAACUACGAUCAUGCUACACAUAUAUUAGAGAGCCAUACUUGCACCAUUAUUAUAUGAUAAUACGGAAAUUUCGUUCUCUCUGCAUCUGAAACCAGGUGGGGGAUAGUCCGCUCCGCAAAGGCUAAGAACUUGAACAAGUCCCACAGUGAAUGGAUAACUGAUGCCAUAUAUUUUAAUGGAAUCGCAGAUGCAGACAGAUGCCACAUAGGCGUCAAGCCCAUCCACGAGAGUGCAACAUGGCCUCACUGUUUGAUAGUUGAGAAUCCUGCCCAGGCCAAACACGUUGCUACAAGCUUCGAUGUCCCUUGGACAUGUCGGAGGUUGGGCCACGGUGAAGCCAAAUAAGAUGAGGUUGAUGGUGAGGAAGAAAGCUGUAGUGUUCUUUGAAGCCAUGUUUUAAAACUGCUAAUUAAGCUUUUGAAUCAAUUUUUUUUUAUUUUGUGUUUGGAGAGAAAUGUUGAGUAAUUAGUUUUGGAGGUGAGGGCUUGGAUUUAUAGUCUUUUAGAAAGUUUAGUUGCUUACUAUAGAUUAUAGAAUAUGAUUAACAAUUAUCUAACGUCUAAUUAAAAGUCCACUACAAUAAUUAUACAUAUAGUUAAUAAACUAAAGUAAGUUUUGGUCCUACAUGUAGCGAGCACGCGUUAUAUCUUCUCAAAACAAUGUGAAAAGUCACCAUGAAAUUUCGGACUACUUAAAUUGCUCUUAUAACUUACCGAUUAUAAGAUAGUAUUAUUUCAUGUGAACAUAAUUUCUAACAAUAAGUUAAUGAAACAUAUUGCUCGUUAAAGAAAUGGAAAGACGUAAGCACUAUAUAGAUUAAACAAAUCCUCGAAACUAUUUCGUGUAUAUAACAAGUUAUAAUAUAUGAGCAGUUGGCCAGGCCAUAUUUAAUAUUAUAAAUCGAAUGAAUAUCUGGUGAUUUCAAAAUGGUUGAUAUAUGUCUCUAUCAGUUGUACACAUAACACCCAAUUAAUUUAAUUUAACUCCCACGUUUAUUUUUAGUACUAUACUUAAUUAGUUGGUCGACGCCGACGUUAUUGUCAAAUCUUUAUUUGUUUUUAAAAUAUUUGUUGAAGAUUUUAAGUUGCCCGUAUGGUUAGCCGAAGCCAUUUAAGCGUUUCAAAAGGAUUAAUCAAAUUGUUUCAAUGAGUUUCUCUUGUAAGCUAUAUUGUAUUGUACGACACGUUUAAGAUGACUUCAAACUAUGAUGGUUACCCUUUUCUAUUUUAUAUUUAGACUCUUGAUCCUAGCUCUUUGACAAAAAGAGGCUAUUUACAGGUCUAAUUGGGUUCUUCUUGGGCCACAUAAUGCAUAUACGGGUCGAACUUAGGGUACGUGAUUAAAUACCCAUUCUGAUUUAACAUAUUCAAUAACAAGAAUGCAAGAUUCACAAAAACACAAAUUCGAAUAGGAAUCAAACGGUACUUGGUUUUUUAUUCUGUUUCUAUAGUUUAUCCACUUAGAAGUUCAUAAAAACUGAAAAUUUUGAACUGAAAACGGAGUACCCUUAUUGCAAUGUUAAUUCAAAUGCAGAACAAUCUCAUCAAGUCCAGGUGAUUGAGAAUUUGACAAAAACAAAAGGACCAUUUCCCAAGUAUUUUUGUACUUAGUGCCAUUAGAAUUUGUUUACUCUCCCUCAAAAGCUAUAAGAAAACAGAACCAUCACCAAAAACAUUAUCAAAGAUACUCCUAACCACACUUUAUUAGCAUCAAACCAAAGUAAUAAGAAGAGACUUAAAGAAGUUUAAUCCGUAACAUAACCAGGCAGAGGCACCCAAAUCUACAAGAAGAUCUUGAGAUUCGUAUUUUCUAAUAAUUCCAACACAUAAACUUCACUUAUAAUAAUUUAUGAAAAAAUAGUGGUGCAUAUUGAGAAACCGAUAUGCUAGACUAGAACUAACCUACUGUAUUUAUGUAGCCAUGAUAAAAGUUUAUUCUAAUAAUCAUUAUUCGCAUUUAGUUGGCAAAGAAAUAUUUUCAUUUGUUCAUUUCCUGAAAUCAAGUAAGUGAAUAGUUCGACCAUACAUAUAUUGCAAGAUGCCAAGAUCAAUAUUUUUUUUUAUUUUUUUAUUUUGGACAAAGCAAGAUCACUAAAAUAAAUAUAUGAUUACAUAAGUUAAUCUUUUUUUUCUUUCGUAAGUGAAUCUUACUAUACGAAUACUAUUUGAUGAAGAAUUCUUAACUACUUUGGUGUUGGAUUCUAUUGGUUAUAAAAUUCUUUUCACAAAAGAUCAAAAGGAUAAGAACAUGGUUAUAGAUUUAGCAGCAAAAUAUUGAGAUCCGAUCCGUGAUUGGUGGAUUACCAACAAAGUUAAUAAAAUUUCAUAAAAAUCGCAUCUCAUUUUUUAUUUUUAAUUGAUCAGAUUGUCUUCUUGUCCCCAAACAUAUCUGACGUUUUACUUACCUUAGUCUCUCGCUGUUUGUAUUUUGUUUGUGCAUUUAGUUCAACUGUUACAGUGUUGACUGCCACAUUGUCAUUCUUAUUCGGGUCGUUUGACCUUGGCUCAAUCCCUAGACAUAGAAACGAAGAUUCCGAUCAAACCACACGGCACAACACCAUCGCAACUAUUUAUAUCCUCUUAAGUACACUCUUUGGUUGAAUCUGUAACGGCUUGAUGAAUAUAUGUUUGGACACAAAAUAGUGACUUCUCGUCUAGAUGAUGCAUUUUCACAAGCGUUUCUUUGAUAUUGUCACAUCUCGAAUUUUUUUAAAUGCAGUAUCUAAUAUUGGAUUUCGAAGGCGAUAUCAGAUAUAGUCUUUGAAAAUUCGUUGCAUACACAAAUGUUUAGCUAAAUAUUGAAACGAUUGCAUGUAUUGGUUUUACAUUUGAAAGUUAAUUAACAUCACUAGAUAUUUUGAAAAUCUUUUUCCAUCAUUAAAAUAAGAUAAGUUUUUACAAAACAACCUCAAUGUUUUUUUAUAGAACUGCUGUUAUUAGUUUUUCCUUGCAAUGUCCCCUCUAGAUAUUCGAUUCCUUUUUCGGUCGGGUCCGGAGGAUUCAUGUGGUCUAAUUAGUAGGAGUAUUAGUUAUUAAGAGGAAUAAUUAGCUGACGCUAUAUAUAUAUGAAUUACAAAUAAUAAAGUCAUGUUUUAGUUAAGAAGUCCAUCUUAUCAUCAAAAGUAACAUCUUUAUUAUUGAGUUAUCAUAGCUAGUGAAGACAUAUAAUUAUUAACUAUCAUGUGAAGCUUUUUCGAACUAGUUAUCUAAAUAUUCCUCCUGGAUUAUUUGGUUAUAUCCCAAGAUCUUUAUUCCUUUGUUGGUGGAUAGAAUGCUAAUUUGGGUUGGAUUUUUGCUGUUGUCCAUUAUUCAUAUAUAUGAUCCAUAAUGUAUCAGUUUCUUGGAUUAAGAAUUUAAGACUACUGAGUAAGUUACGUUAGAAAGAUAGUCAAAACCAAUACACUUAUUCAUGUAAAUUUCUUACAAUAAUCAUUGAGUUUAGAUUUUUUUCUUUCAAAACUACUCGCAGGCAUUAGUUCAUAAUUUAAGAGGUUUUUCAACUGUAAGUAUCAAGUAUGCAACAACUCAACUAUGAUUUAUCCAAAUAAAAACUAGAUUGUGCACGUUAGCUAUAUGACAUUGUCAUAAAUAUUUUACAAAAGUAUAAGAGACAUCCAUGACGGAUGUAUUGUACCAAAUUCUUCAAAAUUAGGUACACAAAAGUACAUAAAUUUGUUACUUUCAAUUCUUCCCAUCGAUAAAGCCUCCCAAUUUCUUUCUUUCCAUUUUUUCUUUUUGCCAAACAGAUACAGUUUUCUUCUAAAUAAUUUUGUAAUUAAUUGUUUCUUCUAAAAAAGGUGGUAAAUAUGUUUAUGACUUUCUGUUAAAUUUAUAAAUUAUAAUUUACAAUUUUAAAACAUAAUUCCUGAACAAUAUUAAAUCACUUAAAAAUUCUGUAACUAGUGGAAUUCCGGCCAAAAAAAUCUCAGACACGUAAUAAAAAUAUGUCUUAUUCAUAUGAAUGAAAUAAAUAUUAUAAUAUAUGAAGAGAAAACAAGAAAAGGAAAAAAGAAAGAAGAAGGCACUUUCUGUGAACCGAAACAUGUUACGCAGAUCGCAGGCGCCGUGCCGACUGCCGACCAAAUCCUCACUCCAUGUCUCUCCAACACACAUGCUUGGCUUUUGUCAUCCUCAUUAUCCGAUUAUUUUUAAAAAUAAAUUCUCAUAAUAUUGUGAAAAGUUUUCAUUUGAUCUCCAUAUCUAAGCUAUAUCUUUAAACAUGGCCCUUUGUGUUAUCUUUUAUCUUCUAUAUAUUAUAGAUCGACAUCUCUUAUCAAAACACAUAUUUUUAAAUUUGGACUAAGACUUAAUUAGUCCAUAUACAUAGACUGAUAGACACACCCAUAUGUGCAUGUACACUAAACGACAUAUUGCACAUAAAAAUGAUGAAAUGAGUAUUUGUUAAUAACAAUACACGACAAUCGGAUCUUUUAGAUGCAACUACAACAAGAAGCAUAUUUUUUACUCAUAACGAUCAGAAAAGUUUGAGUGUAGCUACUGUUUUUAUUUUGUCAUGUUAAGGAAUAAUGAACACACAUAUAUAUGACAUGUCAAGUACUUUCGAUCGGAAAACCAAAGAGUUUUCGUCGACCUAUCUCAAGUUUGCAUUUUAAAUUACAACGAACUUGUGACAGAGAAAAAGAAAAGAAAAUACUACAACGAAACUUGUAGGUCAACUCUUAAAUUGCAUAUUACCGUACGAAUGUACAUAGUUGAGAUUGAUUUUGUUCAAACGUUUUGCUCAUUAAUUGAGUUUGACUAUUCAACAAUGAAAGAACCCACACGAAAAGGUCCGGUCACUAAAAACUUAAAGUUAAUUUAUUAAGCUUGGUUGAGUACUAACCAGCACCGGUCUAUAGACUCUCGAUUCAGAACAUCUCCCUUAUGUUUUUUCAACAUCGGAAUGUCAAAUUUUUGUUCUCAAACUGUGAUAAAAUCGGGAAUAACAUGUUAUAUUUGUUUUCAACGAUUUGACAAAUAUUCUUGAAUAAAGAGUUUGGUCUUGACACAACGUAGCCUCGUGGCAUAAAACAUCAAUCGAAGAAUCGAAACACAAAUAUCUCGUGAUCAUACGAAGAAGUAAAAACGUUUUCUUUUUUUUUAAAAGGUAAAAGCCUAAUGCUGGAUAAUCAAUAAAAUAUUUCUAAAAACGAAAAUGAACUUAAAAGAAAGAGAGAGUAAAAAAACAAAAAAUAUUUUUGUAUUAGUGACAUGUUAAAUUUGGAGAACUAUACAUCAUGCACAUGUAUACACGCACGAACACACACAUUCAACGGUCACACCUCAGAGGCUAUAAAAAGAGGUUGCUUUGUUCUAUUCUCAGCAUCAAAUUCAAAUCAGUACUCUUCUUCUUCAUCUUGAACUGUAACACAAAACACAGAGAGAGAGACAUAUUUUUGAAAACGUAAUUUCAGACAAACCCGUUUCAUAAUUUCUCCAAAAGGUUUCAUUUUGUUUUCUGGGUCUCUGUUUUCUUGGAACCUAAACAACUAUGAAGAGGCUCCGAGGUUUUAAGAUCGGACACAGAUUCGUCAAGAUCUUCAAAUGGAUAAUCCGAAGUAGAAGAAACCAAACCGGGAAACGCCAAUGCCUGACCGGAAUUCUCAACCCGGUUACAAAAAUCUACUCUUUAGCACGGCGGUGUCUCCGUCGUGGAGCUAAUAGACUGUGCGGAGGAAUGAAACCGGGUCAGACCCGGCUUGGUAACGAACCGAAGACGCCGACAGUUCCAAGAGGGCAUUUAGUGGUUCAUGUCGGUGAAUCCGGUGAGGAUACGCGACGUGUGGUGGUCCCGGUGAUUUAUUUUAACCAUCCUCUGUUCGGAGAGUUGUUGGAACAGGCAGAGCGGGUUUACGGGUUUGAACAACCGGGUCGGAUUAUGAUACCUUGUCGGGUUUCGGAUUUUGAGAAGGUUCAGAUGAGGAUCGCUGCAUGGGACCACUGCCGACGAAAGAGCACUUUUAAGAUUCUCUAAUUUCACUCUCAUUUUUAAAUAUAUAUAAUUUAAGUUUUAGCUUUUUUUUUCCAUAAAAAAAAGAGAGCAAAUGUCAAAUUAGAAAAAUGAGAAAUUUCCUAUAGUUUGUGUGAAUAUCAGUUUUAUAAGUUAUACACAUUACCCAUACAUUUUCUAUGUUAUUCAAACACAGAUUUGUAAUGAGAGAACAUUUAUUUCAUCAAUUUAUUUAUUUUAUAUAUCAUCAUGCAAUGAUGCAAAGACCUUACAUAUUUGAGAUAAUUUUUAUUUUUUAUGUCUUCUUUGUUUUAUUAUUAGACACAAAAAGUGAUUUUGGUAUAAAUGGUUUGAUGUCUAAUAUCUAUCACGUAUCAAAUAUUGCAUACCAACAUAAGUAGGUCAAGAUUUUCUUUGCAACAUGGGGGGGUUUAGUUAUAAACUUAUCUCGGAAUCAUUUUAAAGUUAUUAACAUGUGAAAUUGAUCGAAGUUCAGAAUAAAAUGGUGCUCCAUAUCGUAUUCUCGGAUGCUGCUGGUUUUUACUUUUGAGUAAGCAACAAACGAAUCAUGGUUGGGUUCAUACAAAGAUAUUUUAAGCCCAACAGAAAUGCAAAUUCGAAGCCCAGCUACCCAACAAGAGUGUCGACCUCUUCAACAAAGCAACAAAACAGCCGUACGGAGGAAACAUCUGUACGGUCAAUUUAUUCAGGUAAACCGAAAUUGUUUUAAAAUCUAAGCAAGUUGUUUUAUUCAUAUGAAAAUGGAAAUAUUCUAUAAAGAAUGAUAUGAGUUCUUUGGAAUGGUCAACGUGAAAUCAGAUUAAACCGAUCUAAUUUGUUUUGGUUCGAUUGGUUUAUUAGUUUAUUUGAGCUAGUACCGGCUUUGUAUUUGUGUGGAUAGAUCGGUUAUAAACAGGUUCUGUAGGUGUGGCCUCACGUUUUAGACACAAAUGCUCCGCAGGCCGCACGUUGUACUUGUUCAUAAACUUUUUACGCUGCAUCACGUUGUUACUGACGUAUUCUUCUCAUGACAUAGUUAUGGCAUUAUUAUGACAUAAGUGACAUAUGAUUAUUAAAUACUAUGAUGUUUUAAACAUAGUUUCUGAUACCCUAUCAUCCUAAUGCUAAAUAUUCAUUAAAGAAAUAAUUAGGAUACUAAAAUUCUAAAAUAUAAAUCAUAGGAAUUUUUUCUUAAAUCAUAGUGGGAGAUUUUUAAGUUUCUGUACUCUCUAUUAAUACCGUACAUCCCGAAGAAUCCUAUAUGCAGAAGUUGAGAUCAUGGCUUACACAAACAAAGUAGCGGUUGCGGUUGGAGCAGCGGUGGUGUUUCUCGCGGUUGUGAUGAAUCCGCGGUGGACAGAGGCACAAACGUAUCCAAAAUUGGAUCGUUUAUGUGUGAUGAUGAUCCCUGACAUUCUGGAAGAAUGUUUCACCCACGAUAGACUAAAACCUACGGAAGACUGCUGCAACGAUCUCAAAAAUGCGACUAUGACGCAGGUUGAUUGUCUUUGUGACAACUUCCUCGAAAGUCUCAGUUUCUCUGACCUUUCGAGAACUUUCUCCGCUGGAGUUUUGAAGAAGUGUGACGUUUCUCACAAAUACAUGUGCCAGGCUGCUAAGAAUAGAGGUAACGCAACCUUUUCUUUUCUGUCUUGUGAUUUAAUCAUGCAUAUAUGGUAACUUAUAAUAUAUUUUGGUUUUUGUUUUGUAAUGAAGGAGAAGCAAAGGGAGGGAGAAACAGUACUACUACCUGCGACAACAGCAUUACCAAUACCAGUGUAGGAGGAAAGAACAAGGUUGCUACAUCUAUGAGUGCUUUUGGUUUGGUUGCGAUUCUGCUUUUUGUUAUGUUUUAAUUUCAAUUUUGGACCGACCUAUUCUAUGUGAACUUUCAUUUUAUCCCCUUGUAAACGCUAAAACAAACACGUUUCUUUUACUGUGUUAUCCGUUUGUAUUUGAAUAAUCAUAUCUUAAGUUAAUAGUUGUCAAGCAACAACAUGAGAAAUCGAAUCCAAGGAUUUGUUUUAUUUGUUUGUGACAUGGGUUAUGGGGUUAGUUAUGAUUUAUUUAUCAUGUGGGAUUAAUCGGAGUCAGAACAAAUAAAUACAAAACAGUUAUAAUAUAAAACAGUUACUCAAAUAGACCAAGAUCUAAUUUCGGGUCAUUUCUUGGUUAGUUUAUCGGUAAUAUUAACAAUUAGCUGGAGUAGCUCAGUUGGUUAGAGCGUGUGGCUGUUAACCACAAGGUCAGAGGUUCGACCCCUCUCUCUAGCGAUUUGUUAUUUUUAAAUUUUGUUUUAAAAAAAAAAAAAUGAUAAAACGCAAUUUGCUCUUACGCAUGAAUCUUUUUUUUUCCUUGCAUCUGACUUCUUUCUUUCUUUGGUUCUUAAUCAUUUUAAUACAAAACUUUGUACCUUGCCAUUGAAACUUUUUUUUUUUUUCCAUUGAAACUUUCAGCAAAGCUUUUACAAAGCAAUGAUACCUAGUAUGCAAUUUUGACGACAUUGGAUGAUUCUACGAAAGUCAAGAACGAAGCUGAUAUAACUAUAUUUCUUAAUGGUGAUAACUUAUCAAAGCCGUGACUAAAUUCAAUUUGUAAUCAAACUAAUACAAAAUUGUACCUUGUCAUUGAAACUUUCCUGAAAGCUUUUACAGAGCAUUAAGGAACCCAAACAACUUUGAAAAACUGAAUGAUUCUGAGAAAGUCAAGAAAGAUGUGACACAACUCUAUUAAUUGUGUGAAUUAAUGUCAAGUUAUGACUAAAUUAAAUAUUUAGACUUAGGGCUUUUUUCAUUAAAAAUGAUCAUGUUGCAUUUUAGAGUUUUCUUCUUUUAGUUUCAGAGACCAAAAUUUAAUGAGUACGACAUGAUUUUUUUUUCUUCCUUUUUCUUGUAUUCAUUUUCUUCGCCAUUUCGCAGUUAUGUAUUAUUAUAUAAUUUAAAAUUUAUGAUAUGAAUUAUAAAAAUGUGCAAUAUGUUCUAAAACGUCUCGAGCACUCAAAAGUUUAGGCAAAACCAUGAUUUCCACCUCUCUUGCUUAUAAAUCUUCCAAAAUUUAAAACCCACUAGCAUUGCGCCUCUCAUAAUUAAACAACGUCUGAAUCACUAUGCACGUCAUUGUUAUCAAUGUGGAUGCUAACGAACUAACGAACAUAUGUUAAAUUCGAAUGGACUAAAAUAUAGGCAAAAAAGAAUUCAGAAUUUCUAUUGUUACAAUAAAAUAAAAUGGCCAUUUGAUGCUUGUUUUGCAUCGGUGUUACAAAAAGAGGUCCUCACGUCAUAUACACAAAUGCCUCCCCCGAAAUUAAGUUUGUUUUCUUGUAGAUAUAUAUUCUCAGAACAAAUCAAAUGCCAUAUAGAAAGUCGUACACAUUUGGUCAACAUUGUGAAGCAAAGUCAAUGCGACUAGGUUAUUAUUUUGAUUAGUUAUACCAACACGGUACAUACCAAGACUCUAUAUAAAUGAUAAUGUAUUUUGGAGAAGUCACAUACAAAAUUAAAUAAGAGCGAACCACUGGUCGUUCAAAAAUAUAUAAGAAAAUAUUAAACCUCUGUUUUUGCUGGCGAUCAUGGCUUACACAAACAAAGUUACGAUAUCAGCCGCGGUUGCGACAAUGAUGCUGUUUCUGGCGGUUACGAUCGUGGAUGCACAGUCAAUGCCACCAAUGCCAAAGUUUAAUCCUGUGUGCGCGUUGGCGGAUCUCCCAAACAUCGUCCAACUUUGCUACUUUAACUUGGAUUUGACGCCAUCUGAAGAGUGCUGCAAUGAUCUCAAAUCGUCGAGCACGAUACAAGUGAAUUGUCUCUGUGACAAUUUCAUUGCACAUCCUUCCAAUGGCAAUAUCUCGCAAGCUCGCUACGACCUGGUCAACAGCGCCUGUGGUGUUGCCGACAAAUUCGCAUGUAAAGGUAUCUUUUAAACAUUUUCAUGGCUUGUCCCUUAGUAUUUUGUUCAAACUACAUUAUGUUUUCAAUAGAACAAAAAAUUAGAGAUAUAGUACCGUUACUGAUUCCGACAUAAUUUUUUAAAAAAGUUUCAUAAAAAUGCAUGUUAGUGUAUUAAAUAAUGCAUUUAAUUCAUAAAUAUGUUGAAUGUGCCAAAUUUGAAAAAUGUAUAGACGAAAUAUGUUGAAUGUUAAUUAAAAAAUAUAUUAGAAUAGGGGAUAAAAGUAAGAUGAGAUUGUAAAUCCAUAGGUUUUGUAGAUUCUUAAUGCAACAUGAAACAAAAGUUGUUGUAUUAUUAUGGUGAUUAAUUGAUUUUGGUUUUGUGUGUGGUAAAGGAGGAGACGCCAGCGGAGGAUCAACGAACAAGAUUGCUGCAUCAAUGGUUCUACUUGGUUUGGUUGCAAGUCUGUUCUUUUAAUUUAUUUCAAUUUGGCCUUCCAAAUUCUAUGUAAUUCUAAGAUAUCCCCGAUAUAUAUAUAAGAAUUAUGGUAUAAAAGGAAUUGUUCAGACAAUGUAAUCAUAUAUGAAUGAUAUACAUAGUAUAUACCACUUGUUUACGUUUUCAGUUUUCAUGUUUUGAUAACAUGAUUCCGCUGUUUUGUACCAUUCAAAAUAUUCAUCAUGUUUUCAUGUUUUGGAAUGUGAUUUUGCUAUUUACCACUAGUGUGUUAAAAAUAUAAAUUAAAGAAAAGAAAAUGGUGAUAAUCUAAUCAAACUAGCUGGCUUUCCGGCGUUUUACAAUUAUUUUUCUUAAAAAAAUCUAGUUUAGUUCGUUCCACUAACAACUAUUCUUUAAUUCGAUUAUUUUGUUAAUUAGCUAACAUACCGGUCAGGAAUGUUUUUAACAAAUAUACAAAAAAAAUAAAAAUAGGUGACAUACCAGUCAUGAAUUUAUCAUAUAACAAAUAUACAAAUUAAAAAAAAAAAAUUAGAUAUAAUUUUUUAGUGUUAAUAUUUUGUGCACCCUCACAAAGUAAUAUAUGUUAUUAAACAUAGAUUUAUAUAUCUCUUAGAAACUACUUGAUCAACUCAAAUUAAAUAAAGAGAAAAAUAAAUAAGAGUACUUGAUCAAUUCAAAAUACAUUAGUAAUUUAGCAGUUUUGUAUCAUUUGUCAAUCGUAUGAGAGACCCCUUCUACUACUAGCUAGCGAAGACCUACAGGGCAAAAUGCUUCCACUAGCCGUACAUAAGGUUGAAUAUGUACUAGUGGGUUCAAGGUCAAACCAUGCUUGACUCAGUAUUUUUGCUGGCUGGAAUUUUAUUCUGAAUGCGUCAAAAUGAAUGGUGAGGUAAUGGACACAGACCAUUCACUUGUGACAAAAAUUAUUUGCUUUUUUUUUUUAUUAAUAGUAUCAAUAAUGUACGUCCAAGUACUUCAAUAUAUAUGAUAAUGUACUUUUGAUUUUUGAUAAGUCACAUAGGGAAGAAAAAAAAAUAAGUGGGCUAAUAGUCAUUCAAACUAAAACCCUACUAUUUUUGGGUUUGUCGGAGUCAGAUACUAAUCAUAUAUGGCUUACAACAUAAUGGCGGUUGCGGUUACAGCGGUGCUGUUUCUAGCGGUUGUGAUCGCUCCUCAGUGGACAGAGACAAAAAAACCACCACGACCGUCGGAUACAUCGGAUACAUCGGGUACAUCGGGUAGAGACAGACGUACAAUGUGCCCGUUAUCAAUCCCUGGAAUCGUCCAAAAUUGCUACGCAACGUUAAAUGCGUUUCCAUCAAAAGAAUGCUGCAAGGAUCUCAAAACGGCAAGCAAGAGAGAGGUGACUUGUCUCUGCAACAAUGUCAUUGCACAUCCAGAUCCUCUUUACACCAACACCAACCAAGUCAACAAGGCAUGUGGCGUUCUUGACAAAUACGCAUGCGACGGUACUUUUUCUUUGGUUUUCCUUUUGGAUCUUUUGUGGUUUAUCAGAAGUUAUAGUUUUAAUCUUGUGAUUGAUUUUUGCAUGUUGUUAUGUAGUUGCACCUACUUUUACUAUUGUUUACACUAAUUAUGACAUGAUCAUCAUCGCUGUUAUACAAGAUCCAUAAAAAGUAAAUUAAAUUAAAAAUCCAUUAAUAUAUUCCGCGGUUUUGCAAAUAUCUUAAAAAAUAGUACAGUAUCUUACCGUACCAUAUUAAUUAGUGCAAUCUUUUGUCAAAGAUAAUUAGCUAACUAGUGCAGUUUUAAACAAGACUUAUUUAUGGUAUCUAAUUGAUUUCGGUUUUGUGUGGCAAAGCAGGCAACUCUAAUGGAGGAGCAACGAAAAAGAUUGUUGCAUCAAUGGGCCUUUUUGGUGUGGUUGCAAGUCUGUUCUUUUAAUUCAACUCUACAAAAUUCUGUGUAAUUGUUCUUCUCAUCAUUUUUGUUUGUUUUCAAAUCUGACUACUCGAACAUUUAUCGAAUCAACAAACCUUAACUUUAAUAAUUCCGCUUCGUCAAUGUUGGUAUUAAAACCUGGUCUGCGUAAUUUGACAGAUGUGUAUAGAUUAUUUUUUAGGUUUGCAUUGGUUAAUGUGAUUAUCACGUCUUCAUACAAAUGCCCCACCCGAAAUUUCAUUUCAAUAUAUAUUAUGGUAAGCCGUACGCAGAUGCAGAUCAUUUAAACAUAUUUGUUACUACAAGGGUUUCAAUAUUCUUAUCAAUUUUUAGUAGGUCUAAUUAAGAUGUCCAGUUAUAUACAUUUAAUUUGAAUUACAGUGGAUUUAAUGAAACAUACCAAAGUACAUACAUUCAGGUCAAAGGCAGUGAGAUAUUUUAUUAGUAGAUAACUAUACUAGCAAAAACAACAUACUGAAGAAGCAAGCUGAAAUAUAUUUUGGUUUGCGAUGAAGUUGUAAUUUGACCAUUCACAAAUGUUCUUAAGAAAAAACAAGAAUUGUUUCAUAAACAAGGAAAAAAAAAAAACGCAUCAUCAUUAUUCAUUAGCUAACAGCAAGAAAUUGAAGAAGCAAGUUGAAAUCAUCAUGUAUGCGAAAAGCUUGGUAAGAACCAUCGAGCAGAGAGUUCAAGUAACGAACAAUCGAAAUCAAAUUUGUGCAGUGGCUCCAUCUCCCGUGUCUCGUAAUUGAACAGAAAGAGAUCUUUUGUGGUCGUGUCAUGGCUAUCACUGAAAUAUAUAGUAUUUCUAUGGAGUCCCUCAACUUCAUUGGCGAGCACGGUGAUGCCUAGAUCCAAAAGCAUUGCCUCGUCGCCCAAAGAAUCAGCAAGUUCAUAUUUAUCAAGAAAUGUCCCUGACGAAUAAAACUUGUAGACGUUGAAUGACUGGAUUCUAGACCAAUGUCUUAACAUUCUUUCAACCAAGAGGACAUCUCCGGUUACUGUGACUACAAGUUUUGUCUCAGCAACGCACCAUGAAUUACUUAAUUGACGACUACGAGGACUUAACCACUCAGAUCUAUAGACAUGCAUAAAACAUUGAAAGGCUUUUCGAGGAAUCUCUCCAGAAAAAUCUAGGAUUGUGAAAAGAUUUCUGUAGCUAAAUGAGUAAAGCUUGUGAUCCUUGUAAACCAUGUCAAGAGAAUCUAAAAUAAUUUCUGGAAUUUGAUUCCACAACUUAUCUCCGUUCUUGGCAUAAACCACACACCAAUAUCCAAGCCCCCACAGAGCUAUGUACUCUUUGGUUUUCUCGUCAAUCCAAAACACAGGGGUACGUACGGUAUUAUUACCUUUGAAUAACUUAACGUGGUUGUGAUCGUCGAAAGUUAGAAAAUCAUCAUCUAUGGUUUGGUCAACCUUUACCAUGCCAACUUGUUGUGAUUCAAUAGCGGGAAGACCGAUCUUCUCGUAGGUGAAUGGAUUCAAAAUGUAUAGAUUAUACUUUGAAUCUUGCAUCAGGAGCCAACUUCCAUAGGUUGCUAGACAAACACUCUUUGCAAAUUCAACACCAAGAUCUUGCGUUUGGUAAAGUUGGUCUUUGUCCUCGGGAUUGAAAAAAAUCGUGCAUGAACUGUUUUUGUUGUUGUUUUUGUCUUUGGGGAAGAGCAUCAGCCAAGGGAUCUGAUUUUUGGGCACGGAUUGUUUCGAAGCAGAGUACCAAGACGAACACACCGAUUUGGCUUGUCGAAAAUUAGCAAAGCUGAGGCGUUUGAAAACUAAGUUCAAGAGAUCUAGAGGAAGAUCCGACCAGGUAUUAGGGUUUUGGUUCUUCUCCAUGAAAACGACAAUAUUUGAGAUAUAUAGAGAGAGUUCUCUUAUCAACAAAUAAUUAUUUGAGUGAGGAGAUAUCUCUAACAAAAGAUUUUAUAAACCGAAUAGAUCUCGGAAUUUCAUGGUUUGCUUUGUUAAAAUAUGGGCUUUUGUGAAAUUCCGAAAUAUUGGCCCCAUUAAUUAAUCAGUAUAUAUUUUGUUCACUUGGAUCCAAUAAGGUGCAAGACAUGAAGAGAGAAAGGUAACAUAGGUGAACGAUUUUGUUCCCUAAAUAAAGGUUCAAUUCAACAAUGUGAUUCUCACGUCUUAUACACAAAUGCUCCACCAUAAAUUUCAUUUCAUUAUAUACCUAUUUUGACACCGAAAAGAGUUUGGAAUAAAUAUACCUAUUUUCUUCUUAGGUCUGAAAUGUCCAGUAAAAUACAUUUGAAUUACAACUGAUUUAAUCAUUUAAUGAAACAGACCAUUAGUUAUACAUAUACACGUCAACGGCAUUGAAAUUGUAUUAGUAUUCGCCUUUCUUCAUAUAUGAUUAGAAUGAAUGAACUGUCGAAUCCAUAUCAAUGAAUAUUUAGUUUUGUUAUAAUCCUAAUAAAGAUAUGAUCUGGAUUAUAUUAAUGACACAUAUCUUUGAAUUGUCAGGGCCGUCCAGCUUAUAUUGAUUUUCGACAUUCUGUCCUUAACAACUUCUUCGCAAAACAUUCCAUUUUAUGUAUUAAUGGUUUUAUUUUAAAUUGGCUUCCAUAUAUAUACAUGAACAUGCCACAUAAAAUAUUCAUUCUCAAAAUGCGAAGAACAUGGGUACUGGCGGAAGAAAGCUGUAAGUUUUUAGGUCAACUAUGUAAAACAUAUUUAAUAAAUAGUAAUCAACAAUCUACAUGCCAAGACUCCUAUAUAAGUUAAUGCAGUGUUUAAGAAGUCACAUACGAAAAAGAAAGUGAGAUAAUAAUCCAAAAAAAAAAUCCAUAUUUUUGCCAACGUUUUUAGACGAUCAAAUGGCUUACACUAACCAAAUUUCAGCGGUUGUGUUUCUAGCGGUUGCGAUUGCUCCGCUAUUAGCUGAGCCACAGUCAACGAUGUUUCCAGAGAUGACUCCUGAAUGUGCCACGGUUAUGCCUGACCUGCUCGAAAAGUGUUUUGCAACCGGUAGUGUGACGCCAACAGAAGAUUGCUGCACCGAUCUAAAAUCCGCAACCUCAACGCAAGUGACUUGUCUUUGUGAUAACUACAUAGCAAACCCCGCCGUUUCAAACAUCACCGGACCUUACUCCAAAGCAAUCACAACUAAAUGUGGCGUUUUCGACAAAUACUCUUGUGACGGUACUAGUAAAGGUACGUUACCAACUCUUUCAUGUUAUAGUAAUUUCAAACAAGAAUGGUGCGUUCAUGGUAAUUAAUGGAUUUUGGUUUUGUGUGGUGAAGGAGGAGAAGAAAAGAAAGGAGGAAGCAGCAGUAGCAAUGGUAAAGACAAUGGCAAGAGUGAGGGAAAUGGAGGAAGAGCGAACUCGGUUGCUGCAUCAAUGGCUAUGUUUGGUUUGCUUGCAAGUCUCGUCUUCGUAAUGUUUUAAUUUAGUUAUUUGUAUUCAUACCAAAUUUUAUGUAAUUUUUUUCUUCUUCUUCUUCCUUUUUCCUUGAAAGAAAAUCCGUGAACCCAAAACAAUUACGUACGUUUUUGAGUCUAUAACAUUUUAUCUGCAUUAUUUUAGGGUGUUUUAACUUUAUUGGGCCUUAUUAACGGGCUUAUAGUGGCCCACGGAAAAACUCGCCAACAAAAUAAGCCGGUUUGUAAACUAAUUUUAUUCCAAUUUCAACAUUUUGGUUUUUGUUCAAUUCGAUUUUCCGCAAAUAAAAAAGCACGAAGCCGGUCCAAAACCGGCGAUGCUUAUCCGUUUAGAAAUGAGAAGGUACUAGAACAAAAGCCUUAUUCACUUCCUUUUGUUCCCCAAAUUCUCGAAAUCGAAACACGACUUAAAACGAAAAAGACGAGACUUUUAACACUCAGACCUAAACCAACACUCUUCCUCUUUCUAUCUCUCUCUCGCCGAUCGGAAGCAGAUUUUUCUCAAAAGGAUGGAUUCAACGAAGCUUAGUGAGCUAAAGGUCUUCAUCGAUCAAUGCAAGUCUGACCCUUCCCUUCUCACUACUCCUUCACUCUCCUUCUUCCGUGACUAUCUCGAGAGGUACUUUCGAUCUAAUCUCUAUGCUUAGUUUGUGUCUGUGGUGGUUAAGAGUUAGUAAAGUAUUGAUCUUUGAGUCUAUGUUUGUGUAAAGUGUAUUGCCCUGAUCUCUAGCGAAAAUCUGUUGUGGAAUUGAUAAACCCUUUACUCUCUUGUGGAUGAAAGUUCCUGUCUUUGGUUUUGGGUUCUUAGAAUUUGUGUCUGUGAUGUUUUAGUUUAGUAAAGUAUUGAUCUUUGAGUCUCUGUUUGUGUAAAGUGUAUUGCUCUGAUCUCUAGCUGAAAUCUAUUAUGGAAUUGAUAAACCCUUGUACCUUUGAUCUCUGUGAGGCUAUUCUGUGGUUUCUGAUGAGUUUUGGGAUUUUUUAUGAUUUCAGUCUUGGUGCUAAGAUACCUACUGGUGUCCAUGAAGAAGACAAAGACACUAAGCCGGUAUAUAUUUUUUUGUUUGGUUCAAUUGAAUUCGUUUGUGUGUUUUGCAGAAGAGUUUGUUUUUGAUUUGAUUGUUUCUGUUUAACAGAGGAGUUUCGUAGUGGAAGAGAGUGAUGAUGAUAUGGAUGAAACUGAAGAAGUAAAACCGAAAGUGGAGGAAGAAGAAGAAGAGGAUGAGAUUGUUGAAUCUGAUGUAGAGCUUGAAGGAGACACUGUUGAGCCUGAUAAUGAUCCUCCUCAGAAGGUACCAUGAUGACUAAGCAAAACCUUAGCUUUUGAUUUUACUAAUUUCUGUCUGAUUGUGUGUUUCUGACUCUCUUGGUUUCGAUACAGAUGGGGGAUUCAUCAGUGGAGGUGACUGAUGAGAAUCGUGAAGCUGCUCAAGAAGCUAAGGGCAAAGCCAUGGAGGCCCUUUCUGAAGGAAACUUUGAUGAAGCAAUUGAGCAUUUAACUCGGGCAAUAACGUUGAACCCGACUUCAGCUAUUAUGUAUGGAAACAGAGGUCAGUACAAGUUGAUUUUGUUUAUUUUAACUUCCAUCAGAUGGGUUUCUUUGCCUAAGUGUCUACAUUUGUGUUUCAGCUAGUGUCUACAUUAAGUUGAAGAAGCCAAACGCUGCUAUUCGAGAUGCAAACGCAGCAUUGGAGGUACAGUGGUCUACAAUUUUCCUUGAGAAUUUUGUUUUAUGGUGAUGAUAUUCAAUCGUUUUGUGUUUAUGAUCACAGAUUAACCCUGAUUCUGCCAAGGGAUACAAGUCACGAGGUAUGGCUCGUGCCAUGCUUGGAGAAUGGGCAGAGGCUGCAAAAGACCUUCACCUUGCAUCUACGAUAGACUAUGAUGAGGAAAUUAGUGCUGUUCUCAAAAAGGUAUGCAUGUGUUUGUCUAUAUGUUUAAUCACUUUUGAUUCAUUAACAAUGCAUAAGCGUGAUUCUUAUACAAACAUUUUUUUGAAAUUUGUAGGUUGAACCUAAUGCACAUAAGCUUGAGGAGCACCGUAGAAAGUAUGACAGAUUACGUAAGGAAAGAGAGGACAAAAAGGCUGAACGGGAUAGAUUACGUCGCCGUGCUGAAGCACAGGUAGCUUCAUAGACCAUGAAAUCAAUCAGAAUAAUAUUUUGAUAACAUUAGUCAGUUUUGUAUUGACCUUAUCACUUAGCUAUAGACAUGGGUUUUGUUUAUAUAAUGUUGGGCUUAUCCAUAUCUCUUUUUCUGUAGGCUGCCUAUGAUAAAGCUAAGAAAGAAGAACAGUCAUCAUCUAGCAGACCAUCAGGAGGCGGUUUCCCAGGAGGUAUGCCCGGUGGUUUCCCAGGAGGUAUGCCCGGUGGAUUCCCAGGAGGAAUGGGAGGCAUGCCCGGCGGAUUCCCGGGAGGAAUGGGUGGUAUGGGCGGUAUGCCCGGUGGAUUCCCAGGAGGAAUGGGCGGUGGUAUGCCUGCAGGAAUGGGCGGUGGUAUGCCCGGAAUGGGCGGUGGUAUGCCUGCUGGAAUGGGUGGUGGCGGUAUGCCAGGUGCAGGCGGUGGUAUGCCUGGUGGUGGCGGUAUGCCUGGUGGUAUGGACUUCAGCAAAAUAUUGAAUGUAAGAGCGACUAUUUGUGAAUUACCAAUAUCCAGAGUUUUUGAAGUUAAAUUGACAUUGUGAGAUUGGUUUGAUAUUUGUGAGCAGGAUCCUGAGCUAAUGACGGCAUUUAGCGACCCUGAAGUCAUGGCUGCUCUUCAAGAUGGUAUGAUGACUCAGUUUAAAGUUGCAGUUUAUUAAUGUUUUUUGAAUAUUUUUCGAGUCUUGAAUGUUGUUUGAAUGCUAUAACAGUGAUGAAGAACCCUGCGAAUCUAGCGAAGCAUCAGGCGAAUCCGAAGGUGGCUCCCGUGAUUGCAAAGAUGAUGGGCAAAUUUGCAGGACCUCAGUAAACAAAACAAGAAGCUUGCUUUUCUUUGCCAAUUUCUGUGUUUAAUUGCGUGAGAUAAGAGAUAUGUUGGAGAACUUUUGUUUUCUUUUAUGUUGUCGUUGCAGAGGAACUUUAACAGGAACAAAACUCUUUUCUCUUCGUUAGUAAUCUACCCUCUUCUCGUUUUUCACUUCCUGAGUUAGAAGAUUUAUAUUGAAAGAUUCGUAUAAGUAUAACACUUCCAACAUUGUUUUUAUGCGUACAUUGUCCUCAUGCAGACGAAUUGUGUCUGUCAGACACAUCAAUCCAUACCAUAUAAGAGAAGAAUAUGUAAUUUAUUUGUGAAUCUGACAGACACAGCAAUCACAGAAAAAUAUCUAUGGGUGGACUUAAAGGGCCAUUUUUAGUGUGAAGAAGAAGAAGCAAAGGAUCUCUUCGUUUAGUUCGUUGACAAAACAUGUAGGAGACCAAAUAAUAUUCAAGUCCAGUGUUGACGGGUUUGUUACAUUCACAUUUAACUUUGUCGUAUCAUCUCGUUUCAAAUGUUUUGACCUAAGUAUUUGAUAAAACUUUGAAGUGGAUUCUACAAAUAAUUAAUAUACUAUUUGACUGGUUUGAUAUCAUCAGGGUAGAAAAUACAUAGAUUUUAAUUUUAAGGAAUUAUGUGGUUAGUAAGUAAAUUUUAUCUCCUGUAUUCUAGCCAGUUGUUUAUUAGUUCUUUUUGAAAUUUCGUGAGUGUGAAAAUAUAUAUUGUGAAAACGAUGUGAAAAAUGCAAUUUCAAACUAAUUAUUAACAAAAAUAACACUCACAAAAAUAAAUUAGGUUGUGACUAUCUCAUCCGGACUUCCCUCAUACAUAUAGCACAUUUAAAUUAUCAACAAAAAUAACACUCACAAAAUUUUGAAAAGAACUAAUUAACCACUCACUAGAAUGUUUGAGACCAUGCCAAAGAUUUCGAAGUUAUGUGUGUGAUCUCCACAAUGAGAAAUGGUUUCACUUUUAGUUUAAAUUAAACAAACUUUAUUGGUUCUCGUUACCAAAAAUUAAUGUUAGUGGUGCGACAACUAAUUCCACAGAGGAAAGGAUUGUGAUGUGGAUGUACAUUGGAAACUCUCCACAUACUAUUUCUUCUUUUUUGGCAAACCACAUACUAUUCUCAUACGAAGUUUAAUUGAUCAAAAUCAUAGUGUCUUUGAAAACCAAUAUAUACAAUUCUAUAAAGAUGAAAAUAAUAGAUACAUCAUACAUGGUCAAUGAUGAAAAAAAACCAAAAUUAAAAGGAGCCACACAUCUCUAAGUUAGAAGAUUCAAACGUUGAUAGCAAAUCUUAGAUUUCCGAAUCGUCCAAAUUCAGAAGUGACAUGGUUCGGUGUUGAAGACAGAACUAAACCUACGACAGUUUUUUUGUAUCCUGGUCUUGUUUGUGGAAUAAAGUCAAAUGUUAUUAGUUAUUACUGUAACGAGUUUUUAAAAUUUACAGAAUUAAUUAUGUAACUUAUGAUGAAAUUUCAAGGUAUUAUGUAAAAAGUGUGUUAAUAAUUUAUUAAGGAGUAUUAAAUAUAAAUUCAUGAUUAAAGUCUAAAGAUAACAAUAACUAAAUAUUUUGGAGUAAUUAAUCUUGUUAACAAAAAACUCAAAAUAAUGUGAUGUUUAUUAGUUUUAUACUAAUAAUUUUCUUAAUAUUUGUUUAGCACAAUUAUACAAAUAUUUUAUAACAUAAAGAUAAGGAUACAAAGAUAUGCAGGAGAGAACUAGUGUCUCAAUUUUUUAAGUUUUGUUUAAACGUAAAGUUGGACCCUAAUACUGAAACAUACAUUCAUCUUAUUUUCAUAAUAUAUAUUCCUCGGUUUGUGAAUAUGUGAAUAAUUUAUACAAAACAAAGAAAGUAAACUUCAAUCUGUAUUCUUGACUUUGACGAAAUCCUACCAAACCCUAAUUAAUAAUACUUGAAAACCAUGGUGCACCCUUACUGCUUUACAUGGAUUUAUUAUCCUUACAUGUUUAUGAUUUGUAUGCGUGUAUAUGUUUACAUAUAAUGUACAUAUAUAUAUAUAUGUAUAUGCCACGUAUGUAUAAACAUGACAACUCAAUGCUUGUGUUCAUCUCCAUAGAGUUGCCAAUAUGUCAAUGGUGAACAGUCAAAACCCAAAAUCAUGAACACCAAAGUCUUGACAAUAAUCCAAAAACAUCUUCUCGUCAUUGAUUCUUUCCGGUGACCAUAUCGGAAAAUCUGCAUCGGCGCCGGAGAUAUUGUGGUCAUAUAAUGUUCCACCAACACCAAAGUUACUAUCACUCCAAGAGGCCUCAUCUUUAGUAGUUUCGUCGGACCAUAAGUAACUAAACAAUUCAUCAUCAUCAUAAAUGUUGUCAAUUAGAUGAUUUUCAUUAUCCAUCGAACUGUUUUGAUCAGUAACCGUGCUACUACUUUCUUCUUCUGUUGUCGUGACACUUAUCUCCACGUAUUUCGUGUUAGUUGUCUUUGGUUCCACUGAGACAUCGUCUGGAUUGGACGGAAUGGUUUUGGAAUUAUCGAUAUUAGAAGGUUCUUGAUUUAGGGGUUGAUGGGUCAUAGGAUCGAUUCCCAUCUUAAGAAGUUUCUUCUUGAUAUGAGUAUUCCAAUGGUUUUUUAUUUCGUUAUCUGUUCUUCCAGGUAAUCUUGAAGCUAUCUUAGACCACCUAUAAUACAACCAAUGGUUUUAAAUAACAAAUUAAUUACAAGAAUAAAUAAUAUUUUAUAAAGUGUUGGUGGAUAUAUAUGUUACAAUCUUGGUAUAGAAAAACAAGAAGAUUGACAAAAUAAGUUAACAUUAUCUCUGGAAGAGAAGGACGUUACUUUGUCUUGAAGUAGCUUGAAGUUGAUUUCAACGAAAAAUCAAUGCAAAUCAAAACUUAUUCUACUUAUUUGACCAACUUAUUUGGAACCAUUUGGCAUAAUUUACACAACACACAUUAAUACACUAAACAUGUUGGAUCACAUGCAAUUGACUUUAUAUUUUAUGAUGAUCAAACCAAUGUUUAUCUUAAGUCUCUAGUUUUUGUUACAACGUAAAAUUUGAAUUUUUAAUAUAAAUUUGAAAAUUUUAAGCCUCCGUUGAUAUUAUAUGACACAAAUCAUUAAGUAAGAAUUCAAAAAAAAUGUGGAAUUAAUAUAUGAUUAUUAGGCUUACUUAUUGCCGAGAUUAGCAUGAAGAUCUAUGACAAGUUGUUCUUCAUCAUGCGAGAGAAGGCCUCGUUUUAAGUCAGGCCGGAGAUAGUUAGUCCACCGGAGGCGGCAGCUCUUUCCACAGCGACGGAGACCGGCCAGCUUCGGCAAAGCACGCCAGCAACAAUGGCCAUUGGUUAGUAUGAAGUUUAUAAGCUUCUUAUCUUCCUCCACCGUCCACGGCCCUUUCUUCACCCCUAGCUUGUCACAGCAUGGCUGUCUCCCCAUUAAAUACUAUAUAGAAAUGAUAUGUGUGAUUGUAUAUUAUGUUAUAUGGGGAUGUGAAAUAGAGAGCGAAAUGGAAGAGAUAUGGAAGAAUAAAGUUAUCGAGGAUGGAAAAUCUCAACAGCUUGCAAGUUAUGUCAAAAGCUUACCAAAGCUCACCCACCUAUAUAUAACCUUCUCACACCUUUCCCCCACAAUUGGUUUCAGGAAAAAAUAACUUUACAUCUUAAUAUUUUCGAAAUUGUUUUAGUAACUUUUAUUAAAAAUUCUAGUGGCAUUAUGGCAAAGCAUUUUAACUAGUAACGGUUAUAUAUAUAUACAUGGUUCGAUUGGUAACACAAAAAAUUAUAAAAUCUUUUGUCGAUAUGAAAAAAGUAAUUGAUAACAUAUAAAUAAUUAAAAACGGUAUAAAUAACGAACAUAUAAAAUGGUAUAAAAAGCUGAUAAUAGUUUUUUUUGUCGCUUUUAGUAUUCUUUUAUGUGAUUGGUUAGAAUGAAAAACAGUACGGACUACUAAUCACCCUCAUAAUGUUGUCACUUAGAGAUUUCUUGGUAUAUAAAUACAAUUAAUCACCCUAAUAGUGACUUAAUAUAUGUAUAAUACCCGUCUUCACUAUUUUAUCAUUAAAGAAUGUCUAAUCUAAAUAAGAAUUAUGCAUUACUCGUUCAUACAAAAGUACAUAUAGAUCAGAAUUUUUUUAAGGUACGUAUGUAUAUACAGGUGUCAUGAUGGGGAAAUUACAACAGUUUCAAAGAAGAUCUUCUGUAUCUGACUUUAUACAUAAUACGUUCGUUUAUAUUUUUAUAUUGAAUGGUUCAUUUUAAUUAGGAGUUAGUCAGCUAAAGAAUUACGAAUUCUGAUAAAAUAAGAUUAUUCUAAUAAAUAAUGAUUCAGGUUUUUUUUGGUCAGAAAUGAUUAAGGUUAAGAAAUAUAAUUUGUCUUACUUUGUCAAAUCUGUUGCUAGUAGGAUCAUAGAAAGGAGUAUUGGAGAUGUCGCAUUUGGUUGGUGAAAAUGACUUUGGAACUAAUGUGAAAGGAUAGGAUGCGUGCGAAUGUACGCAAUCACACGUGCGAUUCAUACCUUUUUUACUCAAAUACUUGCUCAAGUUUCAAAUAAAUAUAUACUUUGUAUUUAUUUAUUAAAAAAUGUAUUAAUUUCAACAUUAAGUACUAAGGAUCUUGAUAACUAAAACUAGUGUAGUUUUAAGUUGUAGGCACUUAUUCUGUCACCAAAACUGUAUAUAAAUCACCGACUCUAAUAGUUGAUGACACACACAAAAAAAAUGAAUUUUUCAUUGUUGUCGCUAUCAGCUGUGAAAUAAACACGAAUAAAAAUAUGAUCCAGUCUUUACAAAACCGAUUUUACAUAAAAUAUUCAGAAUUUGCCCAUAAUAAUACUCUUUUCAGAAUCUCAAAUAAUUGGCUUGGUCCGGUUCAACUAUGGCAAAAUCCGAUAAGUUUUGAGAAUUGAGAUCUUUAGUCCAUUGCGAUAAACCAUUUUUUUUGGCAACCCUAACAAACCUAUUAAGUAUAUUAUAUACGAGUCUCUAAUUUUGGUAAGAUUUGUUUUUUACAUAACAUAGAAGAAACUUAAAAGCUUCAAUAAUGAAUUGCCGCACAAAAUACUUUGUCGCCGAUACGAAAAAUAAGUAUAGACGAAUAUCCAUUUGACACAUGGUGUACACGUAUAGAUCACUGUAUCAAUAUAUGUUUCUAAUCUUUGCGACUUGUGGGUGACUUGCAAUUUUGGCUUCAUGGUUUUGCUACAAAUUGAUCUAUCUUUCAAUAUUAAAUUAAUAUUCUUCGUCGUAUCAUAGUGUCUACUUAAUUAUUGUCAGAAUGUGGCUCGCUCGCUUCUUUGUUUAAUCGGAUCGGAAAUGUUUUAAAAAUCUUCCAUGAAAAAUUAAAGAUUGUAUGCUAAGAUAUGAUAGUAAUCCUGGUAAAUGUUAUUGGAAGUGUUGAUAUAUCCUAAAUGAUGAAGUAGGCGGAUAUAUAAGCGAGAAAGUCUUUGGCGUACCGAAAUAAGGGAUGUAACCUGAUUCUAAUUUCUAAAUGAGUACACAUUUAUAGGUUUUGGGAGUUUAUAUGUUGCAUUUAUAACUUAAUUUGGGGCACAUAAGAGCAAUGCCAUUUUUUAUUAUAAAAGAAGCUAGGUUUGUUGACUAUAAUUUUCGAAUGGAUUCUGAUAAUCCAAUUCGAUAAUUAUUUACACUAUUAUUUCUUUUAAAACCUAUGUUCAUAUGGUAUUAAGUCAGAAGUGUUUUGUUUUUCUGCUCAAUGAUGAAUUUCGCUUCAACGGGUAAUUAAUGCUUUAGCAUUCUUUUUCUUGAUUCCGAUUUCUUUGACUUGUGUUUAGUACUACUACUACUCUACUGCUCAAACUAAUAUAAACAAAUAUUUUUUUUUUCUAGUUACGAUUUGUCCACACCAAAUAUAGAUGUUCCCACUUCUUGUUCUUGCCCACGAAAUUUUUCCAAUGAGUCACUGCUAUCUUCUUUUGCUGGCUGAAUCAUUAUUCACUAAGUAAUAUAUAUUAAAAAUUCUUAGAAUGUGGUCGUUUAAUUUACUAUAUAUGUGUGAAAAUAUGUGAAUCUUUGUUUCAUGGAAUCUAUUUUUGAAGUUACAAUUUCUUCGAACAACUUGUGAGUUGUGUCUCUUGUCUUCUUUGAUAAUCAUGGCCCCCAGACAAAAUGUUAUAUACACAAUUGUCGGAAGUGUCUGUUUCCGUGUGAUUAAGGCAGAAAGAAAGAGCAAAUUAAAUAGGAGAAAAAUAUUUUCACUAUUUGAUCAAGAAUAUAUGUCUAUGUAAAGUACAUAUCAGUGUUUAAUGUAAAACCAUUUUUUUUUGAAUAAGUUUUUUUCUCAAGAAUUUUUAUGUUAUAUGUAAAAAGGGACUAUGGGAGUUGGAGAUCCCUCAUUAGCACAAGUAAAAAGUCUCGAAAAUGCGAAUAUAUUGUGUGUAUAUAUGAUUAAGUCUCUAAAACUCAAUAAACACAAUUAUAAAAGUGACAUUUCAACACCCCACCACUUUCUUGUAUUUCUCUACAACUCUCAUUUGCUAAUAAUUAAUUAAUUAAGAUUCAAGACUCUUAAUCAUCGCUUGUUCCCUUAAUCAAAAGUUUAAAAUCGACUUCUUGCUUUAAUCCCAUUUUCAAGUCACCACUUACGUAACUUAGGAGUAAUGCCAUCGUCAUUAUAUUAUGCAUGCAUAUAUAUAGUAAAUUCAUGUGGGUGUGUAACUGUGUAUGUAUGGAACUGUAAAUAUAAAGAUGUGGCACUAUUGUUAGUCAAGUCACUUUUGUCCCCUUUAUUUAUUUAUUUUUAUUAUUUUUUGUCCCCUUUAUUGUAGACUAUAUAUUUAUUUAUUCAAUUUCUAAGUAACUAAGACCAUAAUAUAUUCAGAGUAUUAUUCUGAAAAAAUGUUAUACUGUUUGUCUGUUUGAUAUGAUUAUCAAUGGUUCAUAUUCACAUAAAAACUAUAUUAAAUUUUACCUAUGUUACAUGGUACUGAUAGAUAUCUAAUAUAUGGUACUAUUGACUUAUGUUGAACAAAUAAUAUCCUUUCUUACUGCAUAGGUUACAUGAGAGAUGUUGCAUGGUCAAACUAUUAGUCUAGUUUUGUGUAAAUAAAACACCGGACCGGUUAUAAAGAAAAUCAAGACAUAAAGAGGUUUGUUAUAAGAGUAUUUUAUUUUUUUCUUAAUUAAUUGGCUUUCUAAAUGUUGAAACAAUUAGAUUUCCUAUAUUUUAGCAAGUACCUAAGUUUUAGAGAAUUGAAUCAAAACACAUUGAUGAGAAAGUUUUGUUGGUUAUAUUUUUACUGAAUGAAUAAUAUCAAACCAAACUAUUCUAUUACUUAUACCAUUUGAAAAAAAAAUUGUCCAAAAAAAAAGAAUACCAUUUGAAUCAAAAUGAUUUAAAUAUCUAACCGGGACUACAAAAGAAAAUGUUAUCCAAUGGGUUGGGUCUUGUUGUGAUCAAAUAUGUGAGGGCCAAAUUGUUAUGAAACAAUAUUUAGGCCCAGAAUAGUCUCACUAAGUGCAAUCAAGCCCAUGACCGUCAUACACUAAGUUAAUAAUAGAUAUAAGUUAUAACAAAAGAAAUAAUUGAAAUAGGAGGAGAAGUAAUGAAUGAUCAGAAAUGUGUCCGUGAAAGUUUCAUGUUCUUGGUCUCACUUUCAUAAUCAUGUUUAUGGUCGCUCACACGUAAUUGUCGCAAGAGUUAACUACACUACGUUCAGAAGUGCAUUUUCGUAAUUAUGUAGAGAUUUCACAAUUUGGCUUAAACUAACCAAAAUGCCCUGGCAUGAUGAGAGCUCGUAGAUAGGCUUUUUAGCAUUUGUGUUAACUUUAUGCAUUCAAUCUUAAACAUUCAUCUAUCUAACCAUACUAUUUUAAGUAAGACACAACCAAACCGAUCUCUAACAAAAUUGAAUUAAAUUUUAUAAUGACACAAAUUUUACGAAAACUCGAAUCUAACCAAAACCAAAUCCGUAUCAUACUAGAAACUUAAUUGAAAUGUCGACCCCUAAUUCAUAUUACAUCAUCUGCUAAAGUUAGUUGCAUAAGAGUACCCACAUCGGUUAUUUAUUUGUCGGUGUCUGUAAAUAUAAGAAUAAUCAAUAAAAAAUGGUAGGUGUUUUUAGUUUUAAAUUUGUGGUUUUAAGAAAACAUUUGAAACAUAAAAAAAAAGAGAUGAUUUUAAUUUCAUUACUAAUUUAUGCUAAAGACAUUUUUCAAAAAUUGUGUAACGAGGAUGGUCUAAUGGUGUUUUGUAGAGCUUGUAAUUUAAGAUAGUUUUUACGUUGGAAUGAAAUUGAGCUAGAUCCGAUUGUCUAGCCGCCAGUCUUCACAGGUAACAACAAGUCAACAACCGACACAUAAAUAAAAUAAAAAAUUUGGACAAAAUAGUUGAAAAUAUUGUAAAGUGUUGUUGUUAUUUUCUUUAUUUUAAAAAUGUUUAAGGUAAACGUAUAAAAUCAGCGCGCAUGCAAUAAAAUAAGUCAAAUUCAACCUUUUACUACUACUACUAUAUUGAAGUAUUUUUUUUGUUUUUUUGUAGUAAAUUACUAUUGAACAAUGAUUAAUGGAUAAUAAGGUUUUGAAUAUCGACAAGUGGAGUGAUGCGAUAGUACACUGUUUUCGCGGCUGCGUAUAGAUAAUUGAUUGAAUUAGACUUCAACACUGGUGGCGACUUGGUCAAGAUUGGCGUUGUAUCAUCAUAAUUUUUUGUCCAAUAAUGUUAUUACAUAUUUAUGAUAGUAUAUAGUACUGUACAAAAAAGUGAUUAUCUAUUACUCUUUCUGUUUUAAAAUUAGAUUUUUUAGAAAAAAAAUUAUUUUUAAAAUUGAGUUUUUAAGGUUUUUUAUGCAAUAUUUAUUAAUUAUUAUUCAUAUAUUAUAAACUUUUUUUUGAAUAUUUUUAGUUUAGAAUUAUAGAUUUUUUUUUUAAAGGUCCGUAUUUUUUUACAAAAUCUAUUAUUUAGAAAGAGAGAAUCUUAAAUAAAUUAUUCUUAUAACGCAAUACAAUCAUUUUUCUUUACCUUAUGAACUUUAUUUUUUUUUGUGAUUAGAAGAUAAAGUAAAUACUAUUUUUUCUGCAUGUCUUUUGUAUAAGUUUGUAACUACUACCACUUUCAACGCCGUCUCAAAUCUUUCACUCUUUUUUUUUGGAUUGCAAUAUGAAGUACCUAAGAAAUUUCAUAUAAGGUGAUCUAAAAUAUAACAAAAAUAAAAUAGUGUAAUGAUUCUCUCUGAGCCUACAAUAUAAAUGUCCACACUCCCUUUGUUCUCUCUUCACCACCACACAACACAAAACCUCCAAACCAAUAAUCAGAACACAGUGAGAUAUUUCUCUCUGAAGCCAAAGAUGGAAACGGCGUCUUCUAAUUUCUCUCUCUCGCAGAUCCUCAAUAUUGAGGAACCCUACAGCUCCGUAAUGCUCGGUGUCGCCGCUCUCUUGGCCGUUGUUUGCUAUUUCUGGAUACAGGGGAAGUCCAAAUCCAAGAACGGACCACCGUUGCCUCCGGGACCUUGGCCACUUCCGAUCGUCGGCAACCUCCCGUUCCUAAACUCUGACGUCCUCCACACGCAAUUCCAAGCCCUAACCCUAAAACAUGGCCCUCUCAUGAAGAUCCACCUCGGUUCCAAACUUGCGAUCGUCGUCUCUUCCCCUGACAUGGCUCGCGAGGUUCUCAAAACCCACGACAUCACUUUCGCCAACCACGAUCUCCCUGAAGUCGGAAAGAUCAACACUUACGGUGGUGAAGACAUCCUCUGGUCUCCUUACGGUACCCAUUGGAGGAGACUUCGUAAGCUCUGCGUCAUGAAGAUGUUCACUACCCCAACUCUCGAAGCUUCCUACUCCACUCGCCGGGAAGAAACCCGACAAACCAUUGUCCACAUGUCGGAAAUGGCUCGUGAAGGAUCACCAGUCAACCUCGGAGAGCAAAUAUUUCUUUCCAUUUUCAACGUCGUGACAAGAAUGAUGUGGGGCGCCACUGUUGAAGGAGACGAGAGAACGAGCUUAGGAAACGAGCUCAAAACCCUAAUAUCUGAUAUCUCCGACAUAGAAGGGAUUCAAAACUACUCAGAUUUCUUUCCGUUGUUCUCAAGAUUCGAUUUCCAAGGAUUGGUUAAGCAGAUGAAAGGCCAUGUGAAGAAGCUUGAUCUCUUGUUCGAUAGAGUUAUGGAGAGUCACGUCAAAAUGGUGGGAAAGAAGAGCGAAGAAGAAGAAGAUUUCUUGCAAUACUUACUUAGAGUUAAAGAUGAUGAUGAGAAAGCUCCUCUGUCCAUGACUCAUGUCAAGUCUCUCCUCAUGGAUAUGGUUCUUGGUGGUGUCGACACAUCGGUUAACGCAUCCGAAUUCGCCAUGGCAGAGAUUGUGAGCAGACCGGAAGUGUUAAACAAGAUCCGACUAGAACUUGACCAAGUUGUUGGCAAAGACAACAUCGUUGAGGAAUCACAUUUACCUAAGCUUCCUUACCUACAAGCGGUUAUGAAAGAGACUCUUAGGCUUCACCCUACGCUUCCUCUUCUUGUUCCUCACAGAAACAGCGAAACCUCGGUGGUUGCGGGAUACACUGUGCCUAAAGACUCCAAGAUUUUCAUCAACGUUUGGGCGAUUCAUAGAGAUCCUAAGAAUUGGGAUGAACCAAACGAGUUCAAACCUGAGAGGUUUUUGGAGAAUUCGCUUGAUUUCAAUGGAGGUGAUUUUAAGUACUUGCCUUUUGGGUCAGGAAGGAGGAUUUGUGCGGCGAUUAACAUGGCUGAGAGACUUGUUCUGUUCAACAUUGCUUCACUUCUUCACUCUUUUGAUUGGAAAGCACCUCAAGGACAGAAGUUUGAGGUUGAAGAGAAGUUUGGUCUUGUUCUUAAGUUGAAGUCUCCACUUGUGGCUAUUCCUGUUCCAAGGUUGUCCGAUCCAAAACUCUAUACAGCUUAAGUAAGUAAGAAGGAAAUUUGGUUUGAGCUUAUGAGAGGAAGUUGAAUUGAGUUUUCUUGUUUAAAGUUUAUUUUUCUUUAUUCGUGUUUGGAGUUUGAUGCUUUGUAAAAAAAGAUGUGUCAAGUUAAAUUUAAUUUUCUUAUAUAUAAUAAAAUAAAGUUUUAGUCACAAUAUAUAAUAACGCAUUAUUUUGGUGUCCAAAGUCGAUACCAUAAGCUAUAAAAUUCUUGGCAACAAAAUUACACAUACAGUGUAUGGGCUUAAGAACCACAGAAGUUUUGGAUAUGUAAACAUUAACGAUCAACUGGUACUCAAAACUUCAGAAUUUGACAUAUCUAAUGCAUGGUAAUUGGAAAAAAAAAAAUACCGUAAAAGACGCUAUUAUACAUUACAAAAAAUAUAAAUACUGUGUACACUUAAACAGUUAUUUACUUUCAUCUAUCUGUAAAUAAAUAAGUCAAAUUUUUGAUAUUUAGGGGGUGUAAUUGGUUCCUAAUUUAUAAGGAAUUUUGAUGACUUCAAUCAAAUACUAGAAAGUAAAAAAAUGAAAGAUUUUAAACGAUUGUUAGAGACUUUUUUAUAAUCUUGUUGAUUAGUUUUUCAUAAUUUUGUAAAGUUUUUCAAACAAUCUCUCUAUUUUGAUAAUACUUUUCAAUGAUUUUUCAUGACUUCAUUUUAAGAAGAAAAAUGUAGAAAGUCAUGAACCAAUAACAUAAUAAUUUAAAUUAUUAACAAUCAAAGAUUCUUUUGUUUUAAUUGAAUAACACAAAACUUUUAAUGACUUUAUAAGUGUAUAAAUCUAAUAACCCAAAAUUUAUGAAGAUUUUAAAUUAUUUUUUACAAAUCUUAAAUGAAUAACACAAAAUUUUAACAUACUUUUAAAAAGUCUUGAUUAAAUAACAACAAAUUUUACAUAACAGUUUAAAUCACUUAAAUUCUUUUGAAAUCAUAAACGAAUAACACCCCUUUAUUAGACAUUAGUCAUGAUAAUUUGGGAAAAUAAUAAUUAUAGUAAAUAAUGUUAUUAUCUUUCCUAAACAAGUAUUGCGCAGUCAAACAAUAACUCUUCAUCAUAAAUAAAUAAGUCAAAUUUUCGAUAUUUAUUGAACAUUGCUAUCUUACCUAAAAUUAUUGAUAUGGCAAUUUAAAUAUGUUUUGAGACAUGCCUAUAAAACUAUGACUCAUUUUGUUAUUCUAUGCAUCAUUUAUAUUUACUACAUUUUCUUACAUUGGAGCAAGGUAUUGCAUGAUCUCACCAUCUUGAUCUAACGUUUAAAAUGAAGUUUUUUUUAUUUGUCAUUAACUUAUAAUAGUUUUUCAUAUAUACCACUCAUGUUUUAUUACAUCCAUUUUAUACACUUUUCAUUGCUACAUAAAAAACAAAAAAUGAUUUUAUAAAUAUUCGACUAUGAGAUCUUUCGUGAGAAUUUGUUCUCUUAUGUUACAUUGAUAUGAUAUUGUUAUGUUUGUACGAUUUCUAUAAGAACUUCUAAUCGCUUAAGUUAGGAAGAUUUAUUGAAUAUUUAAAUUAUAUAUAUAUCUAUGUAGUUUUACGUAGAUUUUUUACUCAUCACAAGCAAUGGUGAAAAUAUAAAUUUUAGUGGUAUUAUUUAUGAUAUAUAAUUUAAAUAUGUAGAAAUUUUUAUAUAUCUUGAAGAUAUUUUUCUUAAUUUUGUUAAUAUAAAUCAAAUAUGCAUAUAUUUAAAAGUGUAUUGAUAAUUUUUUUUUCUCAUACAAUUUUUUUAUUUAGGGGUUAAGAGAGAAAAUAAAACAAAGAAGAAUGGCUUCCAACCGUUGUGCUGUCUGCAAAAUUUUGAAUGAAACUUGUGCUCCAAUGUGCAUUUAUGCACCACAUUUUCCAUCAAACGAUGCAAGUUUCAAAGUUAUUAUUCAGAUUUUUGGAGCCGUGAAUGUUUGCAAUAUCCUUGAUAAUCUUGAAUUUCCAGAACAACGAGAGAUUGCUGCCAACUGUUUACGUUAUGCUGCUGAGGCUCGUAUACGUAAUCCUAUUUCUGGUUGUCAUGACAUGAUUCUACAAUACAAGAAUAUUCUCAAUAAUGUUGAACAAGAUAUUGAAUCCGCGGUGAAUGAGCUUGGAACCUAUGUGGGACACGAUCAAGUACCAAAAUUUUAUGAUCUUCCAAUGCCAGAUGAUUUCCUCAUGACACCAGUCUCUUUAGAUUCUUUUAUUGCAAAAAUUAAGAGUUUAAACGAAGUUCAAAAGAAUCAACUUAUGCAACUCCCAACUGCUGCUGAUAAUGCACCAAUGAUAAUGAAUAGCAUAUUUGGGAAGAUGGAAGAUAAAAACCUGAAAGAUGGGCAUAGAGCUGAUGGUGCAUCAACAUCUGCUGGUAAGUGAUAUUGAAGAGAUACUUCCAUUUUCUGAAAAUCAAAACCAAAAAUAAUUUUAAUUAUGUCUUUUCCGUGAAUUUCUUUUAAACUCGAGUCUCCAUAAUAAUUCUGUGUUUCUCUUCUCUGUUUUUCCUUUUUAUAAUUCUACAGUUUGUAAUGUCUUAAGUUUAAUAUAUCACAAAGUUUUUAAGAAAAAAAAAACAUAAUUUGACCAGUUUAUAAAGAUUUAUUAACAGCAUUUCCAUAUUUAAUUUCCAUAGUUUUUUGCAAAUAGUAAUCUAUAUUAUAGGAUUUGAAGAUGUUUGUAUAUUCUUGAUUGGUAACUCCGAAAUAAUUCUAAAGUUUGUAACACUUAAAAACAUCAUGUUUUUCUACUGUUUAAAAAUUGGAUAUGAGAAGAAAUACAAUUCUCCGACAGUCCGACGAGGAGUGCUCUGUCGUCCAUACACAAAAAGCUUUUGGCUCAUUUUUUAUUUUUAUUUUUUCUUUUCUCUUUAGACAAUAUUUGAAUGGGACUUCAACACUGGGGGCGACUUGGUCAAUAUUGGCGUUGUAUUUCCUAUCAAAUUAUAUAUGUUAUUAUCAUUCGUUUUCUCCAAUAAUUCUAUCAGAGAUUAUCAUAUAAAUUAUACUAUUACUUAUUAGUACAAUGAAAAUUAAGAGUAUUUAUUAUAUUCAACAACUCCUUCUUUACGAAUUACGACCCAGUAGAAUUUGUCAAUAAUUAUAUUUUUUAUAUAUAUAUUUCACUUAUGAACUUUGAGAGUUAUCGUCAUUCAAAGUUAUAAUUUCAUUUGGUUUUAGUUUCAUAUCUCUUUCAUGUUAACUUCUUUUGUCUGCACUAAAACAUAUAUAUAUUUUUUUUAUUGUCCGCGUGGUCUUUGAUAUAUAUAGUAAUCAUUUUCAAAGCCGUCAAAUUUUUCACUUUUGAUUUUGAAUAUAGAGGAACCUGUUGACCCAAAAAAACAGAUUAUGAAGGAACUUAGGAAAUUUCAUACAAGUUGAUCUUAAAAAUUAAGCAAGAAAAAAGAAUAAAUUAAUGCAGUCAUUCCUUAAGCCUACAAUAUAAAUGUUCACACUCCCUUGUUCUAUCUCCAACACAACACAACACAACACAAAAAAUCCAACCCAAGAACCACAGUGAGAUCUUUCUCAGAAGACAAAAAUGGGAACAGCGUCGUCUAAGUCUAACAUCAACCUCUCGCAGGUCCUCAACACUGAGGAGCCGUACAGCUCCGUGAUGCUGGCCGUCGCUGCUCUCUUGGCCGUUGUAUGCUACUUAUGGAUUCAGGGGAAGUCCAAGUCCAAAAAGGAACCUCCACUGCCUCCGGGACCUUGGCCACUUCCUAUCGUCGGAAACCUCCCGUUCCUAAACUCUGACGUCCUCCACACGCAAUUCCAAGCCCUAACCCUAAAAUAUGGCCCUCUCAUGAAGAUCCACCUCGGUUCCAAACUUGCGAUCGUCGUCUCUUCCCCUGACAUGGCUCGCGAGGUUCUCAAAACCCACGACAUCACUUUCGCCAACCACGAUCUCCCUGAAGUCGGAAAGAUCAACACUUACGGUGGUGAAGACAUCCUCUGGUCUCCUUACGGUACCCAUUGGAGGAGACUUCGUAAGCUCUGCGUCAUGAAGAUGUUCACUACCCCA
rnacentral:lncRNA from 1 species